GGAUGGUGGUCUUGGAGGUGGUGUGCGGGAAGAGGUCAAAGGGGAUCACAGAAGAGGACAACUUGGUGGAUUAUGUAUGGAGUCUCUAUGGUGAAGGCUUGAUCCUGGAGUGUGUGGAUGAGCAAAUGGAAGGCCAAUUUGACAAGGAGCAAGUGGAGAGGGCACUAAUAGUGGCCCUUGCUUGCUUGCACCCCUACUCUGCGUGCAGGCCGAGGAUGCGAAAGGUGGUCCAGAUUUUCCUGAACCCGGACGAGUCGCUGAUGGAGUUGCCCAAGUCUCGGCCCAACAUGGCCUUUGUGCCGGUCUCAUUCUCAGGCUUGACCACCGUCGGCUACUCCUCCACCUACAAGACCAAUUCCACCUUCACUCACUCACAGCUCAGUUCACCCCCAGAGAUAGAACUCAAUCAUGAACAAGGGAUGCCAGGAUUGCGUUAAUGGUCUCGAGAAUUAAAGAUCAUAUUAGAAUAUUUCACGUGAUUCAUAUCUGAGUUAUACAAGAAUAAGUUUUACUUUGUAUUAUGUUAUGAUGUAGUGCAGAAUGGAUACUCUUUGAAGCUAGCUAUACUGUAUUUACAUACCUCUAUGAAUGUUACGUUCUUAUGUAAAAUUGAGUUGAAGUGUUUCAAGUCAUGCCACCUCAUUGCAGGAGUUACAUGGAGCCAUCGAAGAAGAAGACCCACUUAAAUUAGGAACAAUUUACAUAUGUCGAUUCAUAUAUUUAUGAAUUUCAAGACUCACGACUCAGUUUACCACCAGAGAUAGAGCUCAAUCAUGACUAGGGGAUGUCGGGGUUGCGUUAAUGGUCUUGAGAAUUAAAGAACGUAUCAGAAAAUUUCACGUGAUUCAUAUCCGAGUCAUACGGAAAUGAGUUUUACUUAGUAUUAUGCUAUGAUGUAGCGCAAAAUGGAUGUUAUUUGAAGCCUGUGUUGUAUAUACAUUCCUCUGUGAAUAUUAUGUUCUUAUAUGAAAUCAAGCUAGAGUGGUCCAAGUCAUGCUUGCCGCCUCAUUGCAGGAGUUACAUGGAGCAUAUGAAGAAGAAGGCCCACUUAAAUCAAGAAUGAUUUACAUAUGUUGAUUUGUAUAUUUAUGAAUUUUAAGGUCAAAUUAAUCCAAUGAAAGAAAAAAUAAUGUGUAAAAUGAAAGAGAAGUAUUUCACUCGCUCAUGGCAUAGUUCACCAUAGGAGAUAGAACUCGAUCAUGAACAGGGGAUGUUAGGAUUGCGUUAAUGGUCUUGGAAAUUAAAGAUCAUAUCGGAAAAUUCCAUGCGAUUCACAUCUAAGUCAUAUAGGAAUGAGUAUUACUCUAUAUUAUGCUACGAUGUGAUGCAAAAUGGAUACUCUUUAAAGCUAGCUGUGCUGUAUUUACAUUCCUCUGUGAAUAUUACAUUCUUAUGUGAAAUCAAGCUAGAUAGGUUCAAGUCAUAACGUCUCAUUGCAAGAGUUAAAUGAAGCAUAUGAAGAAGAAGACCCACUUAAAUCAAGAAUGAUUUACAUAUGUCGAUUAGUAUAUUUAUGAAUUUCAAGGCUCAAAUUAAUCUAAUGAAAGAAAAAUAAUGUGUAAAAUGAAAGAGAAGCAUUUUUAGCGAGAGAGAGAGAGCUUGGUUUUGUAGCUACAGGGAAGUUACAUAUGUCGAUUCGUAUGUUUAUGUAUUUCCAGGCUCAAAUUAAUCUAAUGAAAGAAAAAUAAUGUGUAAAAUGAAAUAGAAGCGUUUUUGGUGAGAGAGAGAGCUUGGCUUUGCAGUUAUAGGGCAGUUACAUAUGUCGAUUCGUAUAUUUAUGAAUUUCAAGGCUCAAAUUAAUCUAAUGAAAGAAAAAUAAUGUGUAAAAUGAAAGAGAAGCGUUUCUGGCGAGAGAGAGAGAGAGAGCUUGGUUUUGUAGCUACAGGGAAGUCCCACAAAAAAAAUAGAAGGCAAAUUGACGUGCGUUUGCCAGGAGUCGAAAUCUUUGCUUUCAACAGUCGCUGCACAAAGGCCUAUAUUAUCAUUCUACCAAUUUUUGGCAUGCAAGGAAUAAGACCAACUCCUCUUGGGGAUGGAAAAGUUUACUGUUAGGUCGAGAUACAAUUCUUCCUUUGGAGAUGGUCAGCAAAUAAAUAUUCGAGAUGAUAAAUGGCUUACCUCAGGCAUAAUAGGUGGACCAGCCCCUCGAGCAGAAUCUAAACUGGUUGCUGGUUUCAUAAUCCCUCCUGCUCAGGUUUGGAAUAUCUCUCUUCUCCAACAGCACUUUGACCAGCAUAUAGUUGAGGAGAUACUUACUAUCCCAUUAAGUCGUGCUCCUUCAGCUGAUCAUCUUAUCUGGACAGGAACACAAUCAGGUCAGUAUUAAGUUAAAUUGGCCUACAACUUCCUCAGACAAUUAGCCUACCCUUCGAACCCCGAUCUUCCCUCAUCCUCUUAUCAGCCAUCAGCCCAUCUCUGGCGAUCUAUCUGGCAUCUCAACACCCCUCCUAGGAUUAAAGUUUUUAUUUGGUCAUUGUGUCAUAAUGCUCUCCCUACCAAAUUUAAUCUCUUUCGAAGACACAUCUUACCAGACCCUCUCUGUCAACUCUGUUCUAUGCACACCCCUGAAACUACCGAACACAUUCUGUUAUUUUGCCCAUGGACAUCAAAGAUUUGGUCUCAUCAAAGAGUACAACUUUCUCAUUCAGCCUACAAUAGAAAUCGAAUGGAUGCGUGGCUUGAGGAAGUUUUUGAAAGUUAGGCAGGUUUACCUUCCAAAGAGAUCGUUGCUUCCAUCCUCUGGCAUAUAUGGAAGGCGCGCAAUCAUUUUAUUUUUCGGCAGCAGCGAACAGCUCCUGAUCAACUUGUAGAUAUGGCCCUCGCAGACACAACGCUAUACCGAAACUCACUGCAGCAAUCGGCCAUUCCGGACUCUGCUAUGCUCAACCCUAAUCCGCUUUGGACUCCACCGGACCAAGGCAGUUUUAAGGCGAAUAUUGAUGGGGCUUUUAACCACGAUACCCACACUGGUGCAAUCGCAUGUGUCCUCAGGGAUUACACUGGUAUUUUGAUCGGCGGAUGCAGCAGUUCUGUUCGUGCGUCUUCAGCCCUGCAAUGCGAAGCUCAAGCCUUAAUUUCCACUCUCACUUAUUUGCUAGAAUAGGGUAAGGAAGAAGAUCAUCUCAUCAUCGAAUCUGACUGCCUAACCCUUGUGGAAACCCUCAAUGAUCGCUGUUCGUCACCAUGGGAGAUUCGAGCUUUUGUUGCAGAUGCUUCUCUGCUGCGUCUCUCCUUUCCUCGCUUGCGGAUUCAACACUACCAAAGGGAAGCUAAUGCUGCAGCUGAUUGGGCCGCUAAGGCCCAAGCACGCAAUUCUCUCUCACUUUCUUGGCCCAACUUUCCUCCUGCACCGUUAACGACUUUGCUAUGUAUUGACGCCCUAUCUGCGGGUUGUAAUUUUCGUCCUCCUUGAAUACUAAUAUCAUCGUUUCUGUCAAAAAAAAAAAAAAAACAGUCGCUGCACGGCUAACGAACCAUUGGGUGGAUUAGGCUUGAGCAUCGUGGUUGAGAUAAAAGCAGCAGCAAACAUAUAAUGAAUGCAGGUGAGCAUAUAGGGCCACACCUGUGCCAACUGACAUCACAUGAAUGGGUUGGUCCGUCUUCACCCAAUCAAGAACAAGUUGAAAAGCCGAGAUUCUUAGGUUAGCCUCGGGUACUCCACAUUGGAUUGCCGGUGACAAGCGGUGAACACUUUUUUCGCGACCGCAUAAGUAGUUCGCCAACUCUACAUUUAAGUAAGGUAGGAGGGCUUAUUCAGUGGACGGGCCUUGGCCUGCGCCUAACCCUGUUGUGGAGUGUGAGUUUUGACUCCAAGGAUCAAAUGUAGCACACCCAAUCCUAAAUCAUAUAAUGAACUUUACGCAUCACCGACGUUUAGGAGAAAUAGAUAUACUUCAUAUCCCGAAUGGUAUUAAAGUUGAUGUUUGGGCCAUACUAUCUCACAUCCCUUUUUACUUGAAAACACACCUUUUGGGGUCUUUUUAUAAAUAUAUUCGUGUUGUUUACUUUGACCUUUUUGGUAGAAAUAGAACCAUAACAUCUAUAUAAACAAAAGUACAUGAAGAAAGAGCUCUCCAAGCAAGGUUGUCGGCAAUGCUACUGCUGUAAAAAUGGAGAGGGCUAGAAUUAUAGACUUAGUUCGCAGAAUUAUUAAAAAGAAUGUUGUUAGGUGAUUGGACAUUACUAAGUAAACCAUUCUUAUUAAUAUCUUUAGCCAGCGGUGCGCUAUAUGCAAUUUGAUUAAUUAGAUAGUGAUGUGGUACUUCUAUUCAUAUAUUAAUAGUCACAUAAGCAAAGGUAGUAAGGACGAUUAAAGUCUAAAAAGUGCGUGAUUGCGAGCAGCUAGUCAAAUAAUAAUUGGAAUUAUUAACUUAUGUAAAAAAAAGAAGAAGAUAAAAAGUAGAAAUGCACAAAAUGAUAAUUGAGAUGAACUAUAUAAUACUAUAUUAAAAAGCAAAAAUACUGCAUACCCUCCUUAUUUUUCAUUCUAUUACCACUUUUCUCUCCUUUAGUUUUAAAAAUACAUUCUGCAUCUUAAGACAAACCAGAUUAUCUAAAGAACCAUAUUACCAUCCCUUAUAGAGAAAAAAAAAAAUCCCUCUUAGGGGUGAGCAUAUAGAAUAACCCGAAUUGGAAUCGUUUGAACCGAACCAAUCCAGCCAAUUUUGGGCAGUUCUAGAGGGCGUUGAUUCAGUUCUUGAUUCCAUAAAAUUGAAAUUGGUGAUCUUCAAUCUGGUUCUCGGUUCCAAGGAGAGAACCGGAUUGACGACACAGGACCAAUUUAAAUAUAUUUUUUCAUUUUUUAAAAAGUAAAGUGUAAACCCAAACUCUAAUACCCUCUCACACCUAGCUUAUUCCAAAUGAUGAAGUAAAUCUUUGUUUCUUUCAUACUAUUGCAUUGGUUCAUCCAAGUUGCUCCUUUUGUUUCUUGCUUCUUUCUUUGUUUUACCUUUUCUUCUUUUCCUACAAAUAUUCACCGAUUUUACCUCCCUUGCUUACUUGUACUUCAUGAGUCCAUCAUUUAUAAAAAAAAGAAUCCACCGAAUCCUCCUUCUUUUUUCAAGCACGCCCCCAUAAGCAUGGCCCCAUCAUCUCUCAAUAUUCUUCGCAAAUUUUGGAUGAAAUCCCAAAUUUGAAUUGUGACAUGGCUUGGGAAUUCAAUUAAUUAAAAACUUUUGACCAAGAUAUGGAAUCCAUCGAUUCUAUUGGAUUGCUUGAGAAAGAAAUUGGUUUGGUCUAGUCCCAAGACCAAUCAUCCGCUUCUCGAUUCCUAGUUCCUGAAUAAAGCUGAAUCAGAUCACGAACCGAUCAUCCCUAAUUCCCCUAACUCUAUGAUGCAAACUUGCAUUUCAAGAGACUAUUAAUACAAAGUGAUAAUGACUUGAAAAGUAGCACAAUAUUUGUUAUUUUUCUUAAAGAUAAGGCUAUGUUUGACAAUUAGGAUAAAAUUCAUAAUAGGAUAAUAUCAUAUCUCACGUUUGGUGUUGCUUAGGAUGAGAUAAAGUCGGAUAUAAGAAACAUAUAGCCCUAAUAAAAUUAUCAUAUGGGGAGGUAGGAUAAAGAUGGAUAAGAUUUUUAAUAUUUGUGAUAGGAAAUUAUUUUUCUCGAAUAAUUUUUUUUAAAUUAAUAAAAUUAAAAAUAUAUGUAAAUAUAAAUAAUAUUUGAAUUCUAAUAUACAAAAUUCAAAAUAACAAAAAAUAAAAAAAUAUUUUUAAAAUUUAAUCUUAUUAUUAUUUAUAAAUUCGAAUUUAAUUUUUUUUCUUAUAAUAUAAAUCCAAUGUUAGAUAUAACUUUAGGUAUUUUAGUAUUUUAGAUAUAUUAGUAUAAUUUACUAUUCAAUAAGAUUUUAUUAGAGAAUGAUGGAAGGGGAAAAAGAAAUAUAAAUGAAAGUAAUUUUAAAAAAAAAAGAUAGGAAAAAUUACAAAAAGCAAAUAAAAAUAAAGUAGGUAAAAAUUUCACAAGAGAUUUUUACUAUCUCCAUUUGUGAACUUUUACAUUCAUUUACACUAAUAUGCUAUUUAUAUAAAAAAUAUAUGAUAUAAUAUGAAUAUAUUCAACUUUAUUAUUGCAAUUUACCAAAUAAUGGACAGGAUAUCGCAAAAUCCCCAAAUUUCAUGCCUUAACCUAUCAAGUCUAAUUUUGGUUAUAAAUCUAGACAAUCAAAUAUAGCCUAAGUACAUUGAAAGUUCUUGUUAAGAAAGUACAAUCGAGUUUUAAAACUUUCAAAAAGUGCAAUUAAGUUCUAAAACUUAUCAACUAAGUGUAAUCUAAGUCUUUCAUUAACUUCAUCCAACAUGAUUAACGAAAAAGAUUAGCGUGACCUUUUUUUUUUUAUAAUUAUUUUCUCUCUCACACAUAGCAUUGAUGUGGCUAAAAUAUGAAACAUAAAACUAAGACGACCCAUUGGCUUAGAUCCAACGACCAUCACUAGUCAUUGCAGACCCUUUCGAUGAUAGUGAGGUAGUCGCUUGGUUUUUGUUUAUAUAUAUAUAUAUAUUUUUUUUGUGUUCAUUUUUUAAAAUAAAAAAAGAUUUGAAGCAAAAUGACAUUGUUACGUUUCAUGUUUUAGCUAUGUCAACAUCAUGUGAGAGAGAAAAUAUGAAAAAUAAAUAAAUCACCUCACCGUUUUUUGAUAGUCAAAUUGGAUGGAAUGAAUAAAAUGACUUGAUUGCAUUUUUUUUAUUAAAAAAAAAAAUUUAAGUGAACUUAUCUCUAUUUAUCAUUAAGAAAGUCUGUAUCUUAUUGGACUACUUCAAAAACCGCAAACUACUAAGAACUGGCGCUCAAAGAUUCAUUAUAUUUCUUUAGAACUUUCAAUUGACAGUUCUAGAGGAGAGAGUUAUGAUCAAGUAAACAACUAAUAUGCUGUAAAGAUGGCUCGCAAGAAAGGAGAUGAAAAGUACUUGCCCCACGCUGAAGAGGUCAAUUGCACAAUGCAAUGAAACAAUUCAUUUUCAAACGUGCAAGGACGCCCACGCAUUAUGCUUUGAAUAGGAGAAGAGAAGAACCACAUUGUGUUCUUUUGGGCUCAUAUGCAUUACCCGCAUCCAAUUAAAUCAAAAGGCCUUCUUAGCUUGUCAUUGAAUAGAUUUCUGUCCCUAUAUCUCCAUGUUUUCGCGAGACAAGAGACUGCAUCUCCUUCCAAUCAUUGGUAGUCAAUUCUUCGGGGCAAGAAAGAAACAAACCCUAAAAUCCGAAUACAGCCAAGAACAAGAAUUCACUUCUUUCCCAUCCCGCCAAUCCACAGCCCUCGUAACUUCGACUGGAUCCCCAUCUCGAAUUCAUGUCACGACCCAAGAAAACAAAUUAGGAAGCAAACCUGCGAACCGUUCUAUAUAUGCGCCAACAAUGCCUCUGUUAGAUGUAUGCCCUAAAGCUGUUAUGUAAUAGUUAAAUAGUUACAUAUUAGGGAUUUCAAUUAUACAUAUAAAAUUAUGUUCUUUUUAUUUUUAAAAAGAGAAUUGAUUAAUUAAUUAAUUAUUCAUUUACUUAAUUAAUUAAUUAAUUAACUAAUUAAAAAAUUAAAUUAAAGCUUCAUGCAUGUGCACGAAUUCGUGCACAUGCACGAAGCGUAAUGGUUAGCGGUUGCUGACCAUUAUGCACGAAGCAUGGAUGGUCAGCAACCGCUGACCAUCAUGCCAAGAUCGUGCAUGAGCAGUUGCUCAUGCACGAUCGUCUGCUAUGGACGAUCAGCAACGGUUGCUGAUCGAUGGACGAUCAGCAACCGUUGCUGGUCGGUUUUAUUAUAAAAGCAAUUGAGGGACGAGAGUUAAAGUGCUGCUGAAAAAUAAAAAGGAGACUUCAAGUGUUUUGUCUUCUUGUUCCGGAUCAGCUCUUCACCAUGAACAAAAAUUUGAAGUUCUGCUAGUUGCUGAAUAUUGAGUAAAAGUGUGCGUGUUCUUGUGUCUACGAGACACGAGGAAGAAAAACAAUUCUCUCGUUCGGGCCGUGACUAUUAUACAUCAAGAAUACAACGGAUUGUUUCCACGUGAUUGCUAGCAAGAUCGAAGUGGUGAAUAUCCGAAAGUUCUCUCUUCUGUUCGACGUUCGUUGUUGGUGUGUCUGAACUAGAGGUCCGACACUUGUGGGACUCGAACUGUGGAACAUCCAAACCGACUCGUUUCAAAGCGCGCUUCGAGAGGUAUUUCAUUUAACUCCCUUUUAUGUUUAGAUUUUUGAUUAAAACGCACGAACAACGCCUUAGGAGAAUCAUGUGUAAUAUAUAUCUUUAUUUCCGCUGCGUUCAUUUCGUUAAUUUCUCUUAUACAUGAUUCUUGAAACCCCAACAGUGGUAUCAGAGCCAACCUUAGGCAUUUUUCGUGCGUUUAAUUGAUUUGUAGUUCAAAUAUAUUUUUGCGUUCUAAUGGCCAAUUUAUUUUUGUUAAGAGAAUUGGUUCUCUUACUCUUAUGUGGCCUAUAGAAGUUGAUUAAUUUAUGUGAUAAAUUUAAUCAACUAAGCAAAAAUUAGAACUAAAUCAAUUUUGAAUAAAAAAUCCAUAACUUGUUAUAUUUUGUGUUUAUAUUCUACAAAUGAUAUGCAGAAUUUUAUGCAUGCCUUCCAGAGCUUUAAAUUUUGAAUUUAUGGCUCGUAAGGAAGGGUGGUGAUCAUGGAAAAAUCCCUAAUUGUUGUAUGGAUGAAUGUAUGAUGAUUACAUGUAUUCUUUUUGGGGAUGUAAUUAUUAAAUGGAGGCUACGUCCUUCCUUUUAUAUUUAUUUUUAUGAAAUGUAAUUUUAGUAUAGUUUAGUAUUUCAAUUAUUGAUGUAAAUACUACAAGAGAGGAGGAGCCAUUGGAGGAGCCAUUAAACUGGUGAGCUCUCUGGGCCCGGUCUUUGAAGAGUUCAAAGAUUGAAGAAAAAGUGAAGAGCAGGUCCAUAUUAUUAAAACAUUAAAAUGGCUAAAUGGGUCUCUUUGGCUCGAGACCCAUUGAACCAUAAUUCCAUGAUCACCACAUAGGAUAGAUGUUUAUGUGAUAUCUAUUUAUUUAUUGUGUUUAUGGUAUCGUGCAUGUUAAACCGGUUAAUGUGCAAAGUGAGACCGUUAAUAACGACCAAAAUCUCCUUACAAAGAAUAUUAAGUCGAAACGGGUUUCAAACUCGUGGCCUUCCAUCGUCGUGGUUUGAUCCAAUAUUAUAGUGGUUAACUAACUGGUUAUAGAUACAUAGGGGUUAAUUACCAUUUAUAAUAUUGGACCACUCUAUUAUGCAUAUGAUGCUGUGGGGUUGGAGCCAAAUGAUUUCUAAUAACUGUCAGGUGAGGGAAUCAUUUGUGUUUUCAAUAGUUGCAUGAGACGAUGGGCUAGAUUUAACUAUGAUCAUGAUGCCAAUAACUGUUAGGUGAGGCUUUCAUGGUCUAGAGGCCGAAGUUAUGAUUGGACUCGCAUAUGAUGCGUUGAACAAGCUGGUUCACUCACUAAGUUCAUAGGACACCAAUAACUGUUAGGUGAGGUGAACUUUGGGCUAGUGGGACUCUAAUCCCCACCAGUAAUCUUUACCCAACAAAGAUUACCGCUUCCCAUCUUAAGGAGUAUGGGAUUCGAAUAUAAAUUUAGUGGGAGGAUCUAUUUCAUUUAAAGGCCAAAAUGAAAUAGUUGCUUUGAAAGAUACAACGGCUAACAAUUUAUUUUCUGCAACAGAUAUAUUAUUACUCUGAAAAUGGUGACCACAAACCUACUCGCUUCUAUACUUGACAAGAAUUGUUUGACUGGACCCGAUUUCAUUGACUGGGUGAGGAAUUUGAGAAUUGUUCUCAAUUCAGAAAAAAAUUGGGUAUGUGCUUGAUGAAAAGAGGCCAACCUCCUUUCCUGAGGGUGGGACCCAAGAGGAGCCUGUCACUUAUGAUAAGUGGCGUGAUGAUGACUUAAAAGUUAGGUCAUAUAUGCUUGCUUCUAUGAAUAAUGAAUUACAGAAGAAGUAUGAAUCUAUGGAAGAUGCUGGGUCAAUCAUUUUGCACUUAAAUGAAUACUUUGAUGAGAAUGGUCGAACCUCUAGAUAUGAGAUAUCUAAGGCAUUGCACCGUAUGAGGAUGGCUGAAGGAUCAUCUGUUAAUGAUCAUGCUUUGAAAAUGAUUUGGCACAUUGAAGAAUUGGCUAGGCUGAAUCUCGUUAUGGACAAUGAAUUAGCUGUGGAUUUGAUCCUCCAAUCUUUACCUGAUUCCUUCUCUGGUUUUGUCCAAAACUUCCACAUGCAUAAGAUGGAGAAAACUCUUGCUGAGUUACAUAGCAUGCUGGUAGUUUAUGAGAAUGAAAUGUAUAACACGAGGCCAAAUGUAGUGGCUAUGGCUAAGGCUUCUUCUUCAAAGGGUAAGACUAUUUUAAAGAAGAAUAAAUGGAAGAGGCCUGCCAAACCUGUUGUGCAACCAAAACCCAUCAUUGAUAAAUGGAAAUGUCAUUACUGUGGUGUCAAAGGGCACUGGAGGAAGAACUGUNNNNNNNNNNNNNNNNNNNNNNNNNNNNNNNNNNNNNNNNNNNNNNNNNNNNNNNNNNNNNNNNNNNNNNNNNNNNNNNNNNNNNNNNNNNNNNNNNNNNGAGCACCUUCGUUUUCCCAAGAACCAACCUUAUGAAGAUAUGGUGUCUAUACUUAUUGAAACCAAUCUUAUGGUUAGUGCUGAAUCCAGCUCAUGGAUUCUAGAUUCUGCUACAACUUCACAUAUUUGUAUGUCUUUGCAGAAUCUGGAAAUAAGCAGGAUGCUAGGGCGAAAUGAGAUUGUCCUGACGUUUGCCAAUGGAGCAAGAGUUGCUGCAUUAGCUAUAGGGACUUUUCAUUUAUGUUUGCCUUUUGGACAUGUAAUGUUUUUAAAGAACUGUUUGCAUUAUAAGAAUGCUGUUAGGAACAUCAUCUCUAUACCUCGUUUGGGUAAAGAGAAUUAUGAAUUUUCUUUUGCUGAUGAUGUAUGUUCUAUUUAUCAUAAUAGAAUAUGUGUUGGUUCUAGCUUAUUAACCAACAAUCUUUAUACCAUUACAAUGUCCGGUAAUGCGAUUACCAAUGUCAAUAAGCAAAAUAGAAUUGAUAUAAAUGCCAUAACUAAUAAACGCCCUAGAGACGGUCCAAAUAAAAAAUAUGUUUGGCAUCUCCAAUUAGGUCAUAUUGGAGAAGAUAGAAUUAACAAAUUGAGUAAUGAUGGAUACAUUGAUCCUUCAAAUUUUGAGUCAUACUCAACUUGUGAGGCUUGUCUUCUAGGAAAAAUGACCAAAGCGCCUUUUGUGGGACAAAGUGCGCGAGCUGUUAACUUAUUAGAAUUAAUACAUACAGAUGUAUGUGGACCAAUUAAUGAAACUGCUAGAGGUGGUUAUAAUUACUUCAUUACCUUCACCGAUGAUCAGUCACGGUAUGGUUAUUUAUAUCUCAUGAAGUAUAAAUCUGAAUCCUUUGAAAAGUUCAAGGAAUUCAAGGCUGAAGUUGAGAAACAAACAGGAAAAUGUAUUAAGGCUCUUCGAUUAGAUCGAGGAGGUGAAUACCUUAGUACUGAAUUCCUGGACUUUCUUAAAGAGAAUGACAUUUUAUCAUAAUGGACACCUCCUGGAACUUCAGAAUAUAAUAGUGUAUCUGAACGAAGAAAUCGUACUUUAUUAGAUAUGGUACGAUCUAUGAUGAGUUACACCGAUUUGCCAAUAUCCCUUUGGGGAUAUGCCCUUGAGACAACUGUAUAUAUACUGAAUAGAGUGCCGUCCAAAUCUGUUCCAACUAUGCCCUAUGAGAUAUGGCAUAGUAGGAAACCUAGUCUUAGUCAUAUUAAGAUUUGGGGUUGUCCAGCUUUUGUGAAAAAGCUGAAAAUGGAAAAAUUGGAGGCAAGAUCUGAACAAGGUCGCUUCAUUGGAUAUCCAAAUGAAACUCUUGGAUAUUAUUUCUAUUUUCAUUCAGACCAAAGAAUUUUGGUAUGCAAGCACGCUUCUUUUUUGGAGAAUCAGUUCAUCCAAGAAAGUGGUGCUGGGCGGAAAAUAGUCUUACAAGAAGAAAAUAAUGAAGUAUCAAACAACCGAGUUCAGAUACCAAUCUCUGAUUCAGUGGGAGCUUCUGAUACACAACCUCUUAGGAGAAGUGCGAGAAUGUCUCGUUCACCUGCUCGUUAUAGACACUCGGUUGAUCAUAUUGAACCAUUAUUCAUUGUGAAUGAUAGUGAUCAACCCGGUGAUCCUAAAACAUAUGAGGAGGCGAUGUUGGACAUCGAUUCUGGUAAAUGGCUAGAAGCCAUGAAAUCCGAAAUGGAUUCAAUGUAUUCCAAUGAGGUAUGGACCUUGACUGACCUGCCUGAUAGUAUUGUACCAAUUGGCUGUAAAUGGAUCUUCAAGAGGAAGAUGAAUGUUGAAGGUCAAAUUGGAAUUUACAAAGCACAGCUGAUGAUGAAAGGAUAUCAUCAAAAAGAAGGAAUUGAUUAUGACGAAACUUUCUCACCUGUGGCCAUGCUAAAAUCCAUUCGGAUUAUGUUGGCUAUAGCUGCACACCUUGAUUAUGAGAUAUUCCAGAUGGAUGUCAAAACGGCUUUUUUAAAUGGUUUUCUCGAUGAGGACAUCUAUAUGGAACAGCCACAGGGUUUUGAAUCAAAUAGUGAAAAACAGAAGGUGUGUAAGCUUAAGAGAUCCAUUUAUGGACUCAAACAAGCCUCCAGAAGUUGGAACAUCCGUUUUGAUGAGGUAGUCAAAUCGUUUGGCUUUAUAAAAAAUCCGGAUGAACCUUGUGUAUAUAAGAAGAUCAGUGGGAGUGCAAUUGCAUUUCUGGUUUUGUAUGUCGAUGAUAUACUUUUGAUUGGAAAUGAUGUACCAAUGAUAUCAUCGAUAAAACUAUUCUUGUCACGGAAAUUCUCCAUGAAAGAUUUAGGAGAGGCAACCUACAUUUUAGGUAUCAAGAUCUAUAGAGAUAGAUCAAGACGAUUGAUUGGCCUCUCACAAUCUACGUACAUAGACAAAGUGUUAACACGGUUUAACAUACAAUGUUCCAAGAGAGGAUUAUUGCCUUUUAGGUAAGGGAUCUGUCUUUCUAAGGAGAUGUGUCCCAACACUCCUGAAGAAAGAGAGCGGAUGGCAAAGAUACCAUAUGCAUCCGCUAUUGGAAGCAUAAUGUAUGCUAUGCUAUGUACUAGACCUGAUAUUGCGCAUGCUGUAAGUAUUACUAGCAGAUAUCAGUCUGAUCCAGGAGAAGAGCAUUGGAUAGCAGUCAAGAAUAUUCUUAAGUACUUGCGAAGGACUAAAGAUUUAUUCUUGAUAUAUGGAGAAGGAGAAUUUAAAAUUGUAGCUUAUACUGAUUCUGAUUUUCAAUCGGAUCCUAAUGAUUAUAAGUCUACAUCUGGGUUUGUCUUUACAUUCAAUGGUGGUGCAGUUAGUUAAAAAAGUUCCAAACAAAGUAUAACUGCCGAUUCUACCACUGAGGCAGAGUAUGUAGCUGCUUCUGAAGUAGCAAAGGAAGCCGCUUGGAUGAAGAAGUUUAUUACUGAACUUGGAGUCGUUCCUUUAAUUGAGCAACCGAUCACAUUGUUUUGUGACAACAAUGGGGCGAUAGCUCAAGCUAAGGAACCAAGGUCUCACCAAAAGUCCAAGCACAUCGAGAGACGCUUCCAUCUCAUCAGAGAAAUUGUUGGGAGAGGUGAUAUCGCCUUGCAGAAAAUUGCCUCAGCAGAAAACGUGGCAGAUCCCUUCACUAAGGCCUUAAGGUCUUCUUUUGAAAGACAUAUUGACAAAAUGGGUUUGAGGUACCAGACAAGUUGGCUUUAGUGCAAGUGGAAGAUUGUUGGAUGUAUGCCCUAAAGCUACUAUGUAAUGGUUACAUAUUGGGGAUUUCAGUUGUACUUUCAUUAUUAUUAUUUAAUUAAUGACAAUGACAUAUUCAUUCAUUUGUCCAAUUAUUUUAUAUUGAUAAAUGAUUCCAUAAGAUCAGUUGCAACUAGACUUAUUCUUGAGACGUCAAGAAUAUAUGUGACUGGUUCAUAGUUAGACUGAAUCUUUAAAUUGUUCCCGGUCGAUGGAUUAUUGAGUGGAUAUUAAUAAUCCUGUUGAGGCCGGUGUGUUCUUAACUUCGUCAUUAAGUAUUGGAUACUUAAGGGAAUGAUGAGUUACAUGUCAUUGGGUAUUAUGAUGCCUGAGUUAGAACACAGGUGUUUGUAUUAGACAAAUUCACUGAACGUGACGCAUAUGGAACGAUUAGCGACAUGGAAGCUUUUAGCGUGGUCAAUGUCUAAUUGUUCAUGCUUUGGUCUUGUGUAAAUAAUCCUUAGACCUGAGGCACAGUGUUAACUUGUGUAUUGAACAACUAUGGUUCACAGGUGCACAUAAUGCCGGGUCAUUGAUCCGUCUUUAUACCUGAUGGUCAUAAUUUGUUCAUAUAUGAAGUUACACGUGUGCGCAAUAUGAAAUCUGUCUCCUUGUUAUAUGCAAGGUAUGAUAAUGAUGUCCUAUGCAAUCUAAUUGUGACAAUGCAUUGAAAUCCUCGGCCGGGGUUGUAACUGAGAAUAAAUUGUUUAUGUCUCGAAUAAAAUGCAUGUCAAUUAGAUUUGUGCAUAUGAUCGAAUUAAUGACUUGACAAAUAUUUCAUGGUCUUUGUUUGAUCAGGACAUAGUAAGACAGAGAGAUUGAAUUACACUGUAGCCAAAGCUGACAGGUUCAUUAUGUUCUUAAAGUAUUCACACUAUCUGGGUAGCCAUGACAUAUUGCUAGAUGUCAAUCGUGACUUGUAGGAUCUAAAAGAUUAACCGGGACAAUUAAUUCUUUUGGAAGUACUGAUGUGUUAGUACAAGUCUUACUACCAGCUUAGUGAUGAACCUAGGGAUGUCACACACCAUAAACAAUUAGGAUGACGUGGAACAAGAGAGAAAUAUUAUUGCAAAUGUGUUUGCAAUUACUGCAAUCGAAUUGAGUUGAUUUGAAAUUAAAUUAAAUGAGAUUUAAUUUAAUUUGUAUUAUAGUCACGAGCCUACUUGCAUAUGAUGCACACGCAUGCCCAAAGUGGAUAUAUGUUAACAUACCAAACAAGUUGGCUUUAGUGCAAGUGGGAGAUUGUUAGAUGUAUGCCCUAAAGCUGUUAUGUAAUAGUUAAAUAGUUACAUAUUAGGGAUUUCAAUUGUACAUAUAAAAUUAUGUUCUUUUUAUUUUUAAAAAGAGAAUUGAUUAAUUAAUUAAUUAUUCAUUUAAUUAAUUAAUUAUUCAUUUACUUAUUUAAUUAAUUAAUUAACUAAUUAAAAAAAUAAAUUAAAGCUUCAUGCAUGUGCACGAAUUCGUGCACAUGCACGAAGCGUAAUGGUCAGCGGUUGUUGACCAUUAUGCACGAAGCAUGGAUGGUCAGCAACCGCUGACCAUCAUGCCAAGAUCGUGCAUGAGCAACCGCUCAUGCACGAUCGUCUGCUAUGGACGAUCAACAACGGUUGUUGAUCGUCCAUUGAUGAGCAACUGUUGCUGGUCGGUUUUAUUAUAAAAGCAAUUGAGGGACGAGAGUUAAAGUGCUGCUGAAAAAUAAAAAGGAGACUUCAAGUGUUUUGUCUUCUUGUUCCGGAUCAGCUCUUCACCAUGAACAAAAAUUUGAAGUUCUGCUAGUUGUUGAAUAUUGAGUAAAAGUGUGCGUGUUCUUGUGUCUUCGAGACACGAGGAAGAAAAACAAUUCUCUCGUUCGGGCCGUGACUAUUAUACAUCAAGAAUACAACGGAUUGUUUUCACGUGAUUGCUAGCAAGAUUGAAGUAGUGAAUAUCCGAAAGUUCUCUCUUCUGUUCGACGUUCGUUAUUGGUGUGUCUGAACUAGAGGUCCGACACUUGUGGGACUCGAACUGUGGAACAUCCAAACCGACUCGUUUCAAAGCGCGCUUCGAGAGGUAUUUCGUUUAACUCCCUUUUAUGUUUAGAUUUUUGAUUAAAAUGCACGAACAACGCCUUCCGCUGCGUUCAUUUCGUUAAUUUCUCUUAUACAUGAUUCUUGAAACCCCAACAGCCUCAUCUGUUUUGCAGGGUCUCUCGCGUACAAGCCAUGUUCUUGCUUCUGAUCCUGGUCUCAGUCUUCCUCGGUUCUCAGGAAGCUUAUUCUUCAACUUCUUCUAGCCUUGAGCCUACAAACUACUUUUUCCCUUCUUUUGACCCCAGCUCUUGCACCUGCAAGGAGCUCAUUUGCAUGGGUUCGGCGAGCUUGCGAGAAAGGUAUUUGAACAUCACACUAGAGCUGGAGGAGCAGGGUAAUUCGAGCCUUGUGCCCAUGUCGACGAACUAGGUAGGGCGGGCUCUUUAUUCCUGGCCGGUCGUGGCUUGGCCUGCCAUGAUCUCUACCACAUUUGCUGUCAGGAUCACCACAUUGCCGAAUUCCAUAGCCUUUGGCAACGGGAUGGCUUUUCUUUUUGCACAGGAUAAUAGCUCCUCACCACCGGAUAGUUACGGCUCAUAUAUCUGGAUUCUUGAUCGGUCCACUCAAGGUACCUCCACCUAAUCCUUUGUUAGAUGAAUAUGAAAUCUGUGGUACUUUGCCGGAGUGUUGAUUGAAAGACAAUCUCUCUUCGAUUGAAUAUAUAUAGGUGGCGUUGUCCGACAACUGGCCGUGGAGCUGGAUACUUUCAUGAACGAGUUUGAUCCCGAUGGGAACCACGUAGGCAGACACGACAAGUGUUAUUAAUUUAGUCUAUGCUGAGAGCCUAAAUAGCACAGGAGUAAACCUAAAAAGUGGAAGGGACAUUAGAGUCAAAAUUGACUAUUAUGGCUAUAAAUAUAAUCUCAGUGACAUAUUCUGGGAAUUCGCUAGUAAGUGUUCUCAAUCAUUCGAUCAAAAUGUCGUAAACGGUCCCAGUCUUGUGUAUGUGGGCUUUUUGGGAUCUACUGGGCCUCUACCCGAAAGCCAUCAGGUCAUUAAUUGGGUAUUCAUCUCUUUUCCUUUAUCUAUGGAGGAGCGGCUCAAGAGAGACAACAGAUCAAAACUGCACUGAUUCUGGUCGUGCCAAGCGUGAUGACAGUAUUGUUGAUCGCGAUAUUCGUCUACCUACUCGUUGAGAAAGCGCCCAGGAAGAGAAACAAGAAGGACGCUGACAUAGAGAGCCAAUGGAGGUAGGUUGUGAACGUUUCAAAGAUGUUCACCUGCAAUGAGGUAGCGAAGGCCACUCACCUGCUUGGUACUGGUGGUUUUGGAAGCCUUUACAAAGGAUUGAUAUCAGAUCCUCCGGUCAAAGUAGCCGUGAAAAAGAUCUCGACAACAUCAAAAUUGGGUCUGCUUCCGUACUUGUAUCACAUCCUUUUAGCACAUUUUCUUGAACAUGGUCCUGUCGAUAAGAUCUAAACAUUACGGAAGCAUAGUGCUGGAGCGAUUCUGUAUUUCGCUUUUGUUCAUAUUCAUCACUAAUCACCACAACUGCGAAGAUCCUUUGCAAAGUUGUUCUCAAUUUCACUAUCUGCCAAUUAACUUUAAGGCAAUUUUUCAACCUCAAAUUCAACAAGUGAAAGACUAUUUGGCAGAGAUAUCCACCGUUGGAAUGAUGAGGCACAAGAACAUAGUACAGCUCCAAGGUUGGUGCCAUGAGGGGGAACGACUUCUACUAGUCUAUCAAUACAUGGCCAACAGUAACCUUGACUGCUUUAUUGGCAAGUAGUCCCUCGGCUAGGAGACCCGAUACGAGAUCCUGACUGGCCUGGCGUCGGCAUUGCUUUGCCUCCACAAAGAAUGCAGGAACCCCAUGGUCCACAAAGACGUCAAGCCCAACAACGUCAUGCUGGACUCCAACUACAAUGCCUACUUGAGUGACUUUCCUCCGGAAUGACGCCUUAGUCAUGACCAUUCUUGCGGGCACCCCCGGGUACCUGGUCUCGGAGGUGGCAUACACAGGGAAGGCCACGUUGGAGUCGGACGUGUAGAGCUUCGGGAUGGUGGUCCUGGAGGUGGUGUGCGGGAGGAGGUCAAAGGGAAUCUUGUGAGAGAACAGCUUGGUGGAUAAUGUGUGGCGUCUCUAUGAAGGGCUCACUCUUGGAGUGCGUGGAUGGGAAAAUGGGAGGCCAAUUUGAGGAGGAGCAAGUGAAGAGGGCAUUGAUAGUAGGUCUUGCUUGCCUACACCUGAACUCUGUUUAGGCCAAGAAUGCAAAAGGUGGUCCAGAUUUUCUUGAACCCGAACAAGCCACUGAUGGAGUUGCCUGAGUCCCGACCCAGAGGGGUCUAUGUGCCGGUCUCAUUCUUGGGCUUGACCACCGCCACCUUCUCCUCCAGGACCAGGUUCGCCUUCCAUCCCUCAUAGCUCGAUUCGCUGCAUGAGAUUGAACUUGAGCAUGAAUUGGGGACAUCGGGAUUGUGAUGAUGCCAUCGAGAACUAGAGACUAAAUUGGAAAAUUUCAAGCAGUUCAUGCCUGAAUUGUACGGGAUUGAGUUUUCUUUUUGAGUACUUAUUAUGUUACACAUGUUGUGCAGAAUGAAUAUUCUUAUAAAGCUAGGUGUGUUUACGUUCCUCUGUGAAAAUUACAUCCUUACAUGAGUUGUGUUUCAAGGGGAAGGCGUUGCGAGAAUCCAGGCGGGGUUACCCGAGAAACCCUGUAUAGGGUUUCCCUUGUGGCCGGGCCCCUCGUGGGGGUUCCAUUUUUAUGGAGGGGGAAUCCUCUCUCUAUCCUGUCUUUCCAAGAUGUCAAAACCUUUUAAGAUCUCGCUUAGAACCGGAAAACAUCCUUACAUGAACUAGGGAAACAAUAGACGUACAUAUUUUGACCAAAAUGAAAUUGAGCUUCAGUAUUUCAAGUCAUGAUGCCUCAUGGUGGGAAUUACGUGGAGCACACAAAGAAGAAGACCCGUUUGAAUUAGGAACAAUUUAAUAUGUCGAUUCACAUUUUUUUUUUAAAAUCAAGGCUCAAAUUAAUCUAGUGAAAGAAAAUGAUUAACACCACGAAACACCCUAAACUCAUAUACAUAUGAAAAAUUUACAUAAAAUAAUUCUUUAAUCACAAAAAAUCCUUAACUUAUUGAAAACGUGGGAAGCAGCGUGUAAAUGUGACGAAGCAGGAAACCACCCUUAGUCCAUCCUCUCCAUUUUCAAGGGCCCUUGCUAGUUCCCGAUUUUCAGGUACUAAAAAGAUUUAAAAAAAGCUAAUUGGAAAAAAGAAAAAAAGAAAAGAAGACCCUAGAGAUGGCCAUAAAAAGUCAAUUAUUUUUUAUUCUUUAUUGUAAUUUCAACUUUUUCAAAUCACGAACAAUUUCUAUUGCUGGGAUUGUCUUUGUACAUUUACAAGGCUGUUCUCGUGGAAAUUUCAAAUACUAGGCAAAUUACAAUGGCCUUUAGUUAAUUUUGCUCUGUUGAUUUCACGAAAAAUAUAGCGCUUCUAGAAGUUUUUCAUGAAAUAUUUCUUUUAGAAAAAUGACAAUGUUUUCCGGUAUUUAACUAAAAUCUGAAAAUGAAAUGGAAAAUAUUUUCCAUUAUUCAAUAAAGAAAAUUUUUUCCUUCAUUUAUUCUUUUUUCAAUAAUUUUAUUUUAUUUUUUAAAUCAAUUUUUACAUUUAUUUAUUUUUUUACAUUUUUUUCUUCUUCUUCCUCGGCCACGACAACUAACCAUAGGCUAGCUCGAGUCUUACUAUAGGCUGGCAAAGUUCCUUGCCCUAGGCCAGCAAGCUCUAGCCUCAUUAGAUCCAAUGAGAUAGGCGAGGCUUGAGCCUUGCUAACUCGUUGGAUCUAGCAAGGCCCAAGCUCGCUUGAGGUUGUCGGGCUCACUUGGGUGAGGUGAGGCUUGACUUUGCUGGAAUCUAGCAAGCUUGAGCCUCAUCGGCUUGUGGCGAGGUUUAAGCUUGCUUGUGGUUGGUUGUUGGUCGUCGUCGCUUGCGACCAACCAUGGUGGGUGACAAGUCGAAGAAGAAGGAAAAAAGAAAAAAAAAGAAUUAAAAAGAAUUAAAAAAUCAUUUAAAAAAAAGGAAAAGGUGUUGGGUGAAAGAAAAAAAAAAUACUAGGUUUAGAAGUAAAAGAAUGAGAAUGGAAAAUGUUUUACACUUUCUAAAAAGUGAAAAACAUUUUCCCAUAUUUUAGAAAAAAUUUGUUGAUGGAAAAUGUUUACCAGUUUAUAUUCCGUUCAACAAAUGCUGAAAAAUCCUAAUUUUUUUUUUCAAAAGGUUAUUUUUUUAUGAAAUAAAUGAAGUCUUAAUUAGACCAUUUUAGACUUGACUGGAGUGAAAGGCAACAUGGGUUGACUUGGACAAGCGAAAAUGUUCUCGGGCUUUAUUUGACCCACUUUGGCCUGCCCAAGCUUGAUCAAAUUUAUGUGAAAAAGAUUAUGCUUUCUGUAUAGAGCGAUUUUAGGCUUGGCUUACCCAUUUAUAAAAUCCUUUCAAUUUGCAAAGGUAAUAUUGCUCAUUAUAGAAAAGGAGAGUGCCAAGAUAUGUAAUAUGAGUUUAUUGAUUUUAUCUAACGUGUAAUAUUAUGAGUUCCAAAAAUCAUUUUUAAUUGUUUUAUUGAUUAAUCAAAUUUUGAGAACUACAAAAUUUAAAAAGUUAAAAUAAAACAGGUUUUAGGGAAUAUCACAGCACCUACCGAAAUAGAGGAAUGGGUGGAAACAAAAAAAUAGAGGAAUGGGAGAACAGUUAAUCUAGAAACUGGAUUUGCUUUCUAGAGAUCACGAAUUUGACAGCGGGCGGGAGCGAGCGUGGAGUCAUUGACGAGCGUGGUCAUAAUUGGCAGAGCAGAGUCAAGUCAUAUCUCUUUUCACACGAUAACAACCACCACCCUUUGUAAAAGCCCUAAGGUCAAACCCCUCUUUUUAUUUUAUUUUUAUUUGGCAAAUAUUUAUUUUUGUUUUGUUUUAGGUCUAUUAUAGAUGAAUUAUAAAAUAUUGCAUUUACAGGGCUUCCUAAAACAUACCAACCAACCUAAAUGGAAAAAUUUAAAAAGUUACAAGGAGUUAGAAGAAGACUUAUCCAUUUCCUCACGAGCUCCGUGAACCAUACGCAUGUGAGUCUGAUAUUCUAUAAUUGACGAUAGGUUGUGCAUGACCGAACUUAUCAUGACUGUUGAUUAGUUGAAGCUAUCAAUCCAGAUUUAGGCAAGAAUUUCUCCCCAAAUGGACCCACUGAGAUUAAAAUCGACGCCACUUUGGGCUCACGAGGCAUUUUUGUUUCUAAGAUUUUUUUUUUCGAAAUCAUUCACUUUUGGCGAAAUAAACGCAUCCUUAGAAUUUAUUUAUUUCUCAAAAAUUAAAUAAUUCAGAUUUUUUUUUUCUAAAUUUGAUCAUUUUUAUCACUUGAUAAAAUCAUUCAAUGAAAAAUACUUUUAUUAUUGACACAAUUUAUGUCCGAAGAUUGUUGUGAAUGAUGAAAAUAUUAUUUCAUAUAUUUUUAUAAGUGAUACGGAAAAUUAUUUUUUAGAAAAAUAUUUCUUUGGAUUAUUAUUUUCGUUAAAUAAAUGGAGUCUUAGCUCUCAAAUUCCUAUGAUUUUGUUGACUUUUUUUUAUUGAUGUAUUGAUCCAGCGAAAAUGUGGGCGGGCGAUGGCGAUUGCCACUUUGGGUGGGUGCCCGUUAGACCUGUUAAAUGGGUGGGUCAAGUCAUAAAUGGUCCGACUCAAAUUGACCAAUUUAACUCGUUUAUGACCAAUUUAUUACAAUGCAAAAUUUUUGACCCAUACCCGACCCGACCUAUACUCGACUCAUACCCAACACAAAUUUAAUGAACAAUUUUUAUAAUUUUAAAAAUAAUUAUGUUAAUCGAAUAUUAAUUAUUUUUUAUUUUUUAAAAUUUAAAAUUAUAUUAAUUAAUUAUUUUUUAAAAUUUAAAAUUUUAAUUAUUUUAAUUUUUUAAGAAUAUAAUUUAAGAAUAUAAUUUAAUUUUUUUUUCUUUUUUUUUUUUUCUUCUUCUUCUUUGGCCGGCUGCCAACCAUGACAACAAUUGGCGAUCGGCCACAGGCGAGCCUUGAGCUCGCCUGACGUUGGCAAGCUCGAGUCUUGCCAGACGUUGGCAAGCUUGAGUCUCGCCGGACGUUGGCAAGGCCUCCGCCUUGCUAGAUUCGGUGAGCUCGAGCUCACCCCUCGUUGGAUCUGGUGAGGCUCGAGCCUCGCCUGAUGCCAGCGAGUUCAAGUCUUGCUAGAUCUGGCAAGCUUGAGCUCGCCUGACCUUGACGAGUUCAAGUCUCGCCAGAUCGGUGAGGCCUCCGCCUUGCCAGAUUCGGUAAUUUAAAAUUUUAAUUAUUUUAAUUUUUUAAGAAUAUAAUUUAAAUUUUUUUUUCUUUUUUUUUUUCUUCUUCUUCUUUGGCCGGCUGCCAACCAUGACAACAAUUGGCGAUCGGCCACAGGCGAGCCUUGAGCUCGCCUGACGUUGGCAAGCUCGAGUCUUGCCAGACGUUGGCAAGCUUGAGUCUCGCCGGACGUUGGCAAGGCCUCCGCCUUGCUAGAUUCGGUGAGCUCGAGCUCACCCCUCGUUGGAUCUGGUGAGGCUCGAGCCUCGCCUGAUGCCAGCGAGUUCAAGUCUUGCUAGAUCUGGCAAGCUUGAGCUCGCCUGACCUUGACAAGUUCAAGUCUCGCCAGAUCGGUGAGGCCUCCGCCUUGCCAGAUUCGGUGAGCUCGAGGCUUGUUGGCCAUUGUCAUACAGCCACCAGAAGGUGGAGGAAGAAAGAAAAAGGAAAAAAAGAAAAAAAGAAAAGAAAAUUAAAAUUAAAAUAAUUAUAAAUUUGAUUUUUACAAAAAAAUAUUUUUUAAAGUUAAAGAGAGAAGAGAGAGAUUGUGAGGUUUUGGUUAAAAGUGAGUUCUAAAUCCAACUCAUUUAAGAUCCGCUUAAAACCUGCUUUUCUUAAGUCUUUGAUCGUUAAACCUAUUUAACUACUUUUUCUCAAAAACUAAGUGACCCAUAUAUGACCAAUUUAUGAUUUAAAUGGGUCAUAUAUGGGUCUAAGACUCAUUUUUCCACCUCUAGGGCCCGUGUAUCAACGUCAUUGGCGUUCAUUGUGGGACCGGCCAUGGAAUUAGGUUUGCGUAUUCAACUCAACUGAAAAUGGUGCGAGGAUCAAGACAUGGGAGAUUGGUCGGUAUAAAUUAAUUUUCAGAAACUAAUAACAAAAUUAGGCAAAAGAAAAUAUACUUCUAGCCAAAUUCAUGUUUGCAUUAACAUAUUUUAUAGUGAAUUCAUCAUCUUUAUUUUAUUGCAUGUAGAGUGGAUCUAGUUAUGUUAGCGGUAUCGAUUUUCAAUAGUAUUACUAUUUCCUAUGCUCAUAACCUGAUAAUGAUCGACCAAAACUAUUGUGAUGAUCAAAAUUAGUGCUGCAAGGUGAAAAACGACAUUCCUAGUUAAUGCUUGCAUGACUUGUUAGGGAUCUUUUACACUGCUAAUGUGUGCUCAUAUGGCUGCAAUCAUAAAUCUAUGUAUAAAAUGCAUUGAAGCAGUAGAGGUAAAUAACGUGACGUUUUGAAAUGUGAGAGAGACUUCGGGGAAUGAGCCAUCAAUCACAAUGCAUUGCGCUGGAGGGGAUGGGUUGCAUGGACAUCGUGAUGAAAAACAUCAAACCCGAUUCUUUGGAACCCGAGAAGAGGAGCCGCCGAUUGCAAGAAUGUUGUCAAUGCUAGUUUCACUUCCAUUGAUCCUCCCAUUUCUUGCCACAGUUCGUAAGGUUAAUCGUCGUAGCCACAACACCCAUGCAAUAAGUUGACCGAGGUAGUUUUCUUUUCUCGACCAAAGAUCAAGAUAGAUCAUAUCAUUAGUUUAAUCACACUUACAUACGUCUAGUGGUCAAGAUAAUUUGUGCAAGUUUUGUAAUUCAUGGGAGGGCCCAAAGGGUGUUAGAAUUGAUGUUCGGGUGAAAUUAUUUUCAUGCCCCUUUUUAUUUUAAAUUGCAUCCUUUUGAGUCCUUUUUAUAAGUACAUUCAUUUUGUCGCCUUCUACUUUUUUGGUGAAAAUAGAACCAUAACAUCAACAUUAAUGCAAGUACGUAAAGAAAGAGCUCUCCAAACAAGGUUGUCGGCAAUGCUAUCGUUGUUAAAAUGGAUAGUAUGGAUAGUAUUGACACAUGAAUUUUUUUGAUGGGUGGCCUGAAUUUUUUUUUUUUGUGACCCAGGGAACCCACCGCACGGCCAGCAGUCGGGGAGUAAACCCUGGGGAGGCACGCAAGAAACCACCACCCAUGCACCCCGGGCAAGAUAUCACGCAGCGCUUCAGCCUCCCUGCUUCGCAGGGGCUUCGAAACUGGGACCUCCAGCGUGGAGUCCAGCAACCCUACCAUCCACGCUGCAACGAUGGGUGGUUGGCCUGAAAUUUUUUUGUUAGUUAUGAAAGAUUACAAAGACUCAGGUCAACUCAACUUGACUCGGGAUUGACCCGGACCGAUAGGACCUUGAUCCGAUCCGGCAAUUAAAAAAGUGCCCCUCUCUCUUUGGCCAAAAUUCCCAUACCACAUGGACUCACGUUCCCAUCAGUCAAAGUUCUCACUAUUCACAAUGGUUGCUUGGGCGUCUAUUUCUUUUGGUCAAGUGGCGCAAGGUUGGAAAACCGUAGAGAAGACAAAGGCGUCUCUUUCACACUCGAUUGUCUUCUUGCGUUCGCUGUGGGGGCAGUUGGAAAAACGGAGCUGCCUUUGGAAUUAAAGAACUUCCACGUUCGAAAGGAGAAAAGGACAGCGUCAAGGAAAAUAGGUCUUAUUUUAUUCCAAUAAAUCUUAGAAGGAGAAGGAGAGCACGGUUUUCCCUAGGCGAAGAUUCCCUAUCCUUAUCUUGGUCGCUCUCCAUUAGCCAGCAGUAACCAGCAGUCCGCCUUUACCGGCCACUGACGAGCCUCCUUCUUAAGAGAGACCAAGAACAGAGAGCAUGGACUGAGGAGAAUUGCGGCCUUUUUCGGGCGUCCAGAAGUCGCUCCCUCGAGGAUUCUCUCCGAGCCAUUUCUUUCCUUUUCUUUGCCCAACCUCGCCAUCGCAGAUAGCCGUGUCAUCAUUGUUGGUCCAGCAAGCGCAGUAAACCCUGUUUUGCCCCUGUUUUUCGGCUGUCAAGAUCCGAAGCAACUCGUACGUGUUUGAAGCCUCAUCGCCGGCGUGCACUCUCAUCGGCAAUACUUUUCAAACUUGUAAACUUAACCAGCAUCCUCAACCGACAACUCCUCCUUGGCGAGGUAAUGUUGAACCCUCUGCCUUUCUCUGUCACGAGUGGAACGCCGAGACUCGGUUUCUUCCGUUCAUGCUCGUGUCGGAUCUGAAUAGGUUGGUUGUGUUGAUUUUCGAACAUUUCUGAGAGACUUCUUUCGAGCCUGGAUGGGAGUUCAAGUCUUGAAACGGUUGAGUACUUUUUUCCUGAAAUCCACGUUCAUUACCUGUCUCACGAAAUGCCUAUAGGAGUGUCGGGUAACGUUUUUUAUUUUUGCAAAAAAUUUUGUUUAAAAAAAUAUAUAUUUUAUUUCUACUCUCGAAAAUAAAUAUAUAAAUGUUUUUACUUCUUUGUUUCAAAUUUAUAAUAUUUUUUAUUCCGAAAAAUAAAAUAAAAAAUUGAUUGAUGUUAUCAAAUUUAUUUGUGUUAUGAAGAACAAAAAAAAUAGAAAAACAUGAUGUUACCAAAUAUGUCCUAACAAUCCAGUGCAAGUUACUUUCCUUUUUUGUCUAACUUGAGAGCAUAUUGCCCGGAAUUAAGUCACCUUAAUUGUUUUUGAAAGUCUUUCCAAUGAUUGAAUGCGUAUUUUUUUUUUUCUCAAUCAUUCGUUUUUCUCGUGUUUUAUGCUCCCGAGGUCACCGACGGCGAUCGUCGGUGAGUUGAUGAUGUUGUAUCCAUGGAUGAGUGUUUGACCAUCAUGUGCAUCUAAAAUGGUUUUGCUUACAACGUACCUUUAUAUGCUUUGUCAUGACCAUUUCGUUUAUGUGUGAACGGGGUUGAUGAUAGACGUGGGUAUUGAUGGCUGGCGAUCUGAGGGGAGACUAAGCAAUAAAUUUGGUGGUGGUUCCGUGGUGAGCAAAGGCGAUGCUUGGUUUAAAGCUUUGGAGGUGUAAAUCAUGGAUGGAUCCUAUUUCUUUUUGAGGCGAUGCUAAGGGACCACCUUCGGAGGAUUGCAACAAAAACUUACAAAAACUUUCUUUUUCCAACACAAGCGCGUGGAAAUUGCCAAGUAAAACUCAGAGCUUUCUCCCUUUCAUGGAAAAUGUAUGGUUGAGGGUCCACCGUUUAUUAUCCAAAAACUUUCUUUCUCCAACAAGUGCGCGAAAGUUGCCAAGCAAAACACAGUUUUCUCCCUCCGAUGGAAAAUGUUUGGUUGAGGGUUCACCCUCUGUUUUCCAAGCUAACGGUAUUAUUAGCAAAUCAAUUUCCUCAUUUUGUCGUUUAUUGUAAAGGGUCCCUUCUUUUUGUACUCAUAAAUGGCCAAAGGUAAUUUAUUGUAAAGGGAAUUGAUUGGCCAGUUGUACUGUUAGUUUGGAAAACAGAUGGCGAACCCUCAGCCAUAUAUUUUUCAUAUGAGGGAGAUGCUAGCAUCACCCUUUUGUAAAAUAACACGGGGUGGAGUUCUGGAAAUGGGAAGUGAGCGUGGAAGACGACGAGAAUGUAAAAUAACACGGGGUGGAGUUCUGGAAAUGGGAAGUGAGCGUGGAAGACGACGAGAACGCAAGGAAGAGGAGACUGGGUUUGGUUCUAGUUAUGAUAGGGUUGGUGAUUUUCGGGCUUGGGAAUUGGCUUGAUGGACCCAGGCUUAGAGUGGGCUUGACGCUUCCCUUUAGUAAAAAUGGGCUUACGUUCUGGUAGGUUCCAAUGGGUCUAGUUGAUUUGGGCCUAAUCUGUUUCUAGUAAAUAGGGGCUUGGUUUAUUUCUGGAGGAAAUUGGGCUUUUGAAUUUCUACUGGAGAGAUAACUAGUAAGCCCUUUUGCCUGUGGUGGCCCGUGUCCAUGUGAAGCCCAUGCCUAAUCCCACACGAGGGUAAUAAUUUUAAAGAAAGGGGAAAAAUUCACAAAAGAAAAAAAAAAAUUCAGAAAAUGGCUAGGCAUAGAAUUCUUGAUUAUGUUGUUAAAUUUUAGUGAUAUAUUUAGCUUAGUUUUGGUUGAAUAACGUAACUCUUAAUUUUUUGAGUUUUAGUAGUUACUUUUGAGAUAGCUUUGACUUAGAUAGAUCAUUCUUUUAAGUAACAACUUCAACCCAAUUGAACUUUAACUCAUGGGGCUGCUAUCCUGGCCCUUAAUAACUGUGCUAUGUGAAUUUUGUAAUUGGUGCUUCAUUGAGUAUACUUUCGGACGCUUUAUCUUUAUUGCAUUGAUAAUGAUUGUCUACUUAUUUUCGAUUGCGCACUCAUGCAUGGAUAGCAUUUAGAGGCAUAGGUUAAUUAAAAAUGGUCAAAGAUUGCUUGACUUAUUUAGGUAACAAACCAAUCAAGUUAAAAGUACCAAAAGAGCAUUGGUUAGACAAUUAGUGUAAUUAAGUAUUGGUCUUAAAUCUCUAAUUGCAUAAGAAAUAAAGUAUACUCAUAUGCUUCACUUGACUUCUAGUUGACCUCAUAGACUAGUGGUGACUCAUAUUAUGGAUAGAUCAAUUUCAAUCGUAGUUUCCUAAUGUUGAGCAAGUUAAUAGUUUGGGAAAAUCCAUGCUUAUUGAAGAUUGUUGGUUCCAAACUUGACAUUACCUCCAAACCUAUCAUCUCCUUGACAUCAAUAGAUAAUGCUAGAAUUAUAAGCUUUUUUUUUUUUGGUUUGUUCUAGUAUUUUAGACUUACUUUGUAGAAUUGUUAAAAGGAAUCUUGUCAAGUGAUUGGAUAUUACUUGGCAAAUCAUUCUUAUUAGUAAGUUUUAAUAUCUCUAGCGAGUAGUACACUAUAUGCAAUUUGAGUAAUCAGACAAUGAUGUCUUCUAUUAAUAUAUUAAUAGUCACAUAAGCAAAAAUUAUUAACGUCUAAAAACUCAUGAGUACAAUAAACCAAUGAAAAUAAUUGUCGUGAGCCCUAACUUAUAUGGAAAAAGAUAAACAAGGGAAAUGCACAAAAUGAAAAUUGAGAUGUACUAUGAUAUCAUAUUAUAAAGGAAGCAUGCCAAAUACCCUCUCAUUUUUUCACCCAAUAAACCAAUGAAAUUAAUUGUUGUAAUCCCUAACUUAUAUGGAAAAAGAUAAACAAGGGAAAUGCGCAAAAUGAAAAUUGAGAUGUACUAUGAUAUCAUAUUAUAAAGGAAGCAUGCCAAAUACCCUCCUCAUUUUUUCACCUUUUUGCUCUAUUACAACUUUCUCUCCUUUAUUUUUUUUAAAGGGAUAAGUGCACUAAAAAUUUUAAAAAUUGUUAAAAGGUGCAAUUAAAUCCUUAAAAACUUAUCAAAUUGAUGCAAUCGAGUCAUUCUAUUAAGUCCUUCUUAUUGUUUUUAGUCAAAAGCUCUAUCCUACUUGGUUAAUGUAAAAUGUUUAUUGCUAUUUUCUCUCUCCUAUGUAACGUUGACGUUACUAAAACAUGAAACAUGAAGCUAAAAUGACAUUGUUUUUAUUUCAAACCAAAUUUGAGUUAAAUUAGAUUAAAAAUAAAAAUGCCAUUUUGUUUUAUGAAAUAUGAAAAAAGAACACAAAACACAUCGACCCUUGUCGCUAUCAUUCCACCAUUACUAAAAAUGGCUGGCAAUGGUGGGGCGAUGCUCGAUUGCUCAGGUCUCUAGCUAACAUCCACUAGUUCCUAGGUCUUUAGUCCUCACCUAAGGUUGAAAUUGUUGUAGGGCACCAUUCUUUUUUUUUUUUUUCUCUCUCUCUCCUUUUUUAUGUCCCUUUUUAAAAAAUGUAACCUUUUAUUUAAAAUUUGGGUAAAAAAUAAUUAGAUUUAGACCAAAACGAUAUCACUUUAGUAUUAUGUUUUUUGUUUAGUGAUGUCAGCAUCACAUAGUAUAGAGAAAAUAGUAAACAAGUCAUGUUAGUUUUUUUUUUCCCAUUACUCAAGCUGGAUAGAGUUAAUGACAAGACUUGAUUACAUUAAUUUAUAAAUCUUUGAACUUAAUUGCACUUUUGAAAAUUUUAAGACUCAAUUGCAUUUUGGUGAUAAAUUUUAAAAUUUCAAAUAUAUUUAUCCCUUUUUUAAAAUACUGUUCCGCUUCUUAUUAAACAAAUUAUCCAAAGAACCAAAUCAGUCUCCCAUACAAACAAUAUCAACCUAGAUCUAAUAUUACCAACCACAAACUCAUAACAUAUCUCCAAAGCCCAGUCUUUUGCACCCACCAACACUUGCACUCGUCAAUCAUGGCUACCUAUCACAAGCAUUGCAGUUGUGCUCUCUAGCACAAGCCCACCGUCUCUCUCGUCUCUGCCUCUAUCUCUCUCGCAAGGACCGUGAAAGGGCAUGGUGACCUCAUGCUGGAGGGUGGUGGAGGCCGUGGAGACAGAUGACGGUUGGAAGUUGUUGGGGGUGGACGGGAGUUGGUGAAAUCAGAAUUUGUGCUAAGGAAUAAGAAACGGUUCUGUAAGUCUAGUCUGUCAACCGAUAUGAGGUAUACGGUUAGGUAUCCAACGUAAAACUUAUGGUACAAACUCUUAUUUCGAUAUUAAAAACAAAGGAUGCAAAGCGUAUUCUCUAAGCUUUGUAGUCAUUACGCCGAAGUGGUCAAUUGCGCAAUGAAGUGAAACAUGUCAUUUUCCAACGUGCAUGGACACAUUAUGCUUUGACUAGGAAAAUAAAAAUCGCAAUUGUUCUUUUGGGCUUCCAUUUCUGCUGCAUCCACUUAAAUCGAAUUGCCUCUUUAGCUUAGCACUCGUAACUUAAAUUGGAUCACCAUCUCUUGACUCAUGUCAUCACCCAACACAAAAAAAUUAGGCACUAACAAUGCCUCAUUUGGUGUUACAGGAUCUCUCAUGUCCAAACCAUGUUCUUGCUUCUGAUCCUAGUCUCACUCUUCCUCGGUUCUCAGCAAGCUUAUUCCUCAACUUCCUCUUCAAGUCUUGAGCCUACAAGUUUCUUUUUCCCUUCUUUCAACCCUGGCUCUUGCACUAGUAAAGAGCUCAUUUGCAUGGGCUCGGUAAGCUCGCGAGAUGGGUAUUUGAACAUCACGCCAGAGCAAGGUAAUUCGAGCCUUGCUUUAAUGCCGACAAACCAGGUAGGGCGGGUUCUUUAUUCCCAACCAGUGGUUGCUUGGCCUGCCAUGAUCUCCACCACGUUCACCAUCAGGAUCACCCCAUCGCUGAAUUCCACAGUCUCUGGUGACGGGAUGGCUUUCCUUUUCGCACAGGACAAAAGCCCCUCACCACCAAAUAGUACUGGCUCAUACAUGGGGAUUCUUGAUCGGUCUACUCAAGGUACUUCCACCCAAUCUUUGGUUAGAUGAAUACCAAAUCUGUGGCACUUUGUUAUAGAGUGUUGAUCAAAAAAUGAUUUCUUUUCAACUAAAUAUUUAGGUGGUGUUGUUCGACAACUAGCCGUGGAGAUGGACACUUACAUGAACGAGUUUGAUAUUGACGGGAACCACGUAGGCAUAGACACGAUGAGCACUACUAACUCAGCCGUCAACCAGAGCCUAAAGAGCACAGGAGUGAACCUAAGAAGUGGAAGGGACAUCAUGGUUGAAAUUGAAUAUGAUGGCUAUAAAAAUGAAUUCCAAAUCUCAAUAGCAUAUUCUGGGAAUUCGCUAACAAGUGUUCUCAAUUAUUCGAUCAAAAUGUCGGAAACGGUCCCUAGGCUCGUGUACGUGGGCUUUUCGGGAGGCACUGGUCCUCUUCCCGAAAGCCACAAGGUGAUUAACUGGGCAUUCAGCUCUUUUCCUUUAUCUAUGGCGGAUAAGCGGCUCAAGAGAGACAACAGGAUCAAAACCAUACUGGUUCUGGUUGUGCCAAGCGUGAUGACGGUAUUGUUCAUCAUGAUAUAUGUCUACCUCAUUAAAAGAGCACCAAGGAAGAGAGACAAGAAGGACGUCGACAUAGAGAGCCAAUCAAGGGAGGCCGCGAACAUUCCAAAAAUGUUCACCUACAAGGAGCUAGCAAAGGCCACUCGCAACUUUAGCAAGGAGAACCUGCUUGGCACUGGUGGUUUUGGAAGUGUUUACAAAGGGGUCAUCUUAGAUCCUCCGGUUGAAAUAGCCGUGAAAAAGAUCUCCGCAACCUCGAAACAAGGUUUGUUUCUUUACUUGUAUCAUGUACAGGGUCUCGUAGAUAAGAUCUAAACAUCACAGAAACAUAGUGCUGGACCAAUUUUAUAAUUGGUGUGAAUAAAGUAGAAGAGAGAAAUUCCAUAUAUAUAUAUAUAUAUAUAUAUAUAUAAUGUAUCUAGAAAAAGAGUACGUGGAGCUUAUUUAUAGGCUUGAAUAGACGAUAUGUAUAAUUAUAAUAAUUAAAGAAAAUGUCCUAAAUAUCUCUAGAAAAUACCUAAAUAUCUCUAACACUCUCCCCUCAAACAAGAGCAUAGAUAUUAAUCAAAUCCGGCUUGUUACGAGUAUAUUCUAUCCUCCCACGAUCCAGAGGUUUAAUAAAUAUGUCUGCAAGUCGUUCACCGAUCGUAAUGUGAUUUGAAAGGAUCACUCCACUCUAUAGCUUCUCUUGUAUAUAAUGAUAGCCUAAAUGUGUUGUGUUCUCUCAUGAAAUACAGGAUUGGAAGUUAUAUGUACUAGAGCCUUAUCGUCACAACAUAGGGGCAUAGGAAUUGAAGUUUUAAAGCCUAAUCUAGUCAAUAGCUACUAAAUGCACACUAAUUCACAUGUUACUUGUGUCAUGACUCUAUAUUUUGACUCAACACUUGAGCGGACAACAACACUCUAUUGCUUACUCUUCCAUGGUACUAGAUUUCCUCUAACCAAGGUACAAUAGCUAGUACUCAAUCUCCUCUUAUUUGGAGACCUUCUCUAAUCAGCAUCAAAGAAUCCUUCAACUCUACUAUGGCCAUAAUUUUGAUAAACAAUUUCUUUUUUUGGAACCUUCUUCAAGUACCUCAAAAUCCGAAUAAUUGCAUCCCAAUGAAAUGUACAACGAGCAGAUAUAAAAAUUAGCAUACCACACUAAUUGGAAAUGCAAUGUCUGGUUGAGCAAUCGCGAGAUAAUUUAGCUUGCCAACCAGAUUUUUAAUAUCUACCAGGAUUAUCAAGAGUCUCUCCUCCCUCAGCAACUGGAUUAUCUCCUUAUUCCAUUGGUGAAUCAAGAGCCUUUGAUCCCAACAUGCUUGUCUCAGUGAGCAAAUUCUGGACAAACUUUCAUUGCAAUAGAAUAAUACCUUUUUGUGACUGUGCCAUCUCAAUUUCUAGGAAAUUCUUCAAGUUGCCCAAAUCCUCAGUUUGAAAUUAUUGCUGAAAAUAGAGCUUUAUGCUAACCAAGUCAUCUCUCAUGACAAUAAUGUCAUCAACAUACAUAAUUAAGAACAACUUGCCUCCCCUUGAUUAUUUAUGAAAGGAAUGAUCAUAUCCACAUUUAGACAUUCCAAAAGAGAGGACAACUUUAGAAAAUCUUCCAAACCACUCCUAUGGGGACUACUUCAAACCAUACAAUUUUUUUAACUUGCAAACUAGUCUCCCGUACUUCCCUUAAGCAACAACCCCAAGAGGUUGCUCAAUAUACACCUCCUCAUAUGCAAGAAAGCAUUCUUGACAUCAAGUUGCAAUGAUGGCUAGUUAUAUGUGGCUACAAAAGAUAUCAAAAUACCAACAAAUGUGAACUUUGCAACACGAGAAAAAGUGUAUAAAGAGUCAACCUUAUACACCUGAGUAUACCCUUUCGCAACAAAUCUUUUUUUUAAGCAAGCAAGAGAACCACUAGGAAUGACUUUGAUAGCAUACACCCAUUGACAACUAAUAGCAAUUUUGCUUGAAGGAAGAGGUACCAAGUCUCAAGCUUGAUUAACUUGUAAGACCUUUAAUUCUUCUUUCAUAAGUAUUCUCCAGCUAGAGUUAUGUAAUGCUUCGGCUACAAACUUGAGGAUAAAAUAUUGUUCAACAGUAGAUGUAAAGGAUUGAAAGAAGGAGACAUAGAAGAGUAUGAACUAAAGUUUACAAUGGAAUGUUGAGUACAAGCACGAUACCUUUGGGAUGAACAAUAUGGGUCGGCUAAUGAUAGAUCUAGAGUUGAAGAUGACCUAGUAGUGGCAGUAGGAAGGGGGGGGGGGGAGCCAUAUCUAGUCAAGGAUGCCGAGCAUAGACCUUGAGAGAAGUUGGUUCUUGUGCAAAUAUCAGGGAAAUGGGUGGUACAAUUGACCAAAUGGUGAUCACAUGUAAAAUUUCAUCCACCUCAGAAACAGUAACUGGAACAUCGUGAUAUACAAUAGAUUCAAAGAAGGAAACAUUAGUAGUUCUAAAGUAAUUUUGAUGGAGAAUAAUAAUGGUAUCCCUUUUAAGUACGAGAAUAACAUAGAAACGUAUACUUGAUGGCUCUAGGAUUAAAUUUGAUACUCCAAGUUAAUGACCACGAAUAGAAUAGACACAAUAAAAUAUACAGGGUGGUAAGAAAAAUAAUGAUUGAUUGAGAAACGAAUUAGAAAAUGAAAUACCACCUUGCAAAAUCAAACAGAGACAUAAAGCCCACCGUCCCUCUCUUCUUUCCUUUUUUUUUCUUUUUAUUAUUAUAAAUGAAUACCACCUUGUAUAGCAUAAGAAGGCAUGUGAUUAAUGAGAUAGCAUGCAAUUAGGACAACAUCAAAAAAAGGUUUUGGGGACCUUCAUCUUAGAUAACAUGGACCCGGUGACUUCCGAUAGUGCCUAUUCUUCCUUUUAGCUACAUCAUUUUAUUGUGGUGUAUCGAAAUAGGAAGGUUCAUGGAUCAAACUAUGUUGAGUCAUAAAGUCAGAAAAGGUGCGAAAAAAAUGCUUUUAGCAUUAUCAAAAUGCAAAAUUUUAACAUGCACACCAAAGUGAAUAUGAAUUUGACGAUUUAGAAUGACUUUCCAUUAGAUAUAGCCAAGUGACUCUAGAAUAAUCACCACUAAAAGUAACAAAUAAUCACCACUAAAAGUAACAAAGUAUCUAAAACCUACCAAAUAUUUGAAUGAAUUAACGAAAAGGAGGUAUCGCUCGCUUAGUGACUUAAGGUAGGUAACUAACACGAUGCAAUUUGCCAAGUUGACAUGACUCACACUCUAAACUAAAAAGAGAUUGAAAACUAGAAUCUAAAUUUUGUAGAUUGUGCAACUAAGGAUGGCCAAGACAACAAUGGAUUUGAUGUAAGGAAGCAACACUAGAGCAUGGAAUCGAUGGAACAUUUUCAAGCACAUACAGCCCCUUACCUCAUGUCCUCUACCAAUCGUCAUCUUUGUAGCCAAAUCUUGGCAAAUACAAGAAUCAGAGUCGAAUGUCACCAAACACCGAAAGUUUUUGGUUAAUAUACCAACAGACAUAAGGUUAAUGGAAAUUGUGGGAGAUAAAUCAUUGAGAAUAAUGGCAAGAAGAAGUUGGAUGAACUACAUCAACCCCAUUACCUUGUGUAGAUGAACCAUUAGCUAAGGUAAUAGUGGAUGAUGAUGGAGUAAGAGACCAAAAAAAAAAAAAAACCUUGAAAGACCUGACAAAGGACGAGAUAUAGCUAAAACACAUGCAGUAACAUUACCUGUUUGUACCGGAAUAGUAGCGAAAGAAUUAGGUUGUGAGAUUUGAAACUAGCUGUAUCAAACAAAUUCCUCAUCAAACAUAACCACUAUGUUGCCAUCUGAAAAUUGUGGAAAAGAAGAAGAGUCAGUACUUGAUGUAGCAUUUGCAAACUAUUGUUGCGAUCCUAGUCUCCCAUGUAACUUGUAACAAGAUUUUCAAAUGCAACCAAGUUUGCCAUAUUAAUGAUAAGUCCAAACGGCCCCCGAGCUAUAAAUGGAAUUGUGGGACUAUCCAUAAAGUUGCUCUUGGCCUUGGCCUCUUCCUAUUCUUAUGCCCUAGCCACCACCAUGGCCACCGCGACCAUUAUGUCAUCCAUGAGUUCCCCUUUCACUUCCACUACCACUAUUGGUUCAAGACUAGGACAUAAGAGCUGACUAUCUACCACAAACGUGGUGUCCUUGAGAAAACUCACGAGAUACCCAAAAAACUCAAGCAAAUGUACCUAUGAGUGAGCAAUGGUCUCUCUCCUAGGAAUUAGAGAUAUGGCGGUUUCAUUGUUUGGACUGAAACCUCAUUCGAAUCCCAAUACAACCAAUUAUUCUCUUUGAAGAUGCUUUUGGUGAACAUUAGCUAAAAUCAAGAAAAGAUGAUUCAACUCCUAUACACCCUCUUAAAAUCAGCAAAAUAUUGUGCAACAGAACCCCUUCCUAUUAGAUUGGUAAAACUCUCACGAUAGCUCGUAAAUCCGUGAAAGGUUAUUUUGGUCAGAGUACAAUAUAGCCAAAUACUCCCACAAUUCUCUAAUUAUGUCAAUGUGAGUUAUGAGAUCAACUAUAUCACUCUUUAUGGAGUUCAACAUCUGACCAAGAAUUGUGAACCAACUACAUUCCAAGUUGCAUCAAUACUAGGUUUAGUCUUAGUCAAGUGUAUAGGUUAAUUUCUGCCUAUUAAAGUUAGCUUCACAAUUUUCUUCUAUUGUUGAAAGUUGGCACUAUCCUCAAGCUUUUUAUUGGUAAUUCAAUUAGAAGUAGAGGAAAUCACCUCAAUCAUCACAACAUUACUCUUCUCAAAAUCACCCAUUCUUUAAUAAAAAUAAGAAAACUACCACAAUAUUUUCCUUCAAGCAACUCAACUCAAUAGUUUAAUAAUCCAACACAAUUGAAAAAUAUCAUCAAUGGACUAUUAACAAUGUUGUCACAACACUAACAACCAAUUGAACCAACAAUGCAAACAUAGUAAUAGAGUAGUUGUAGCGUUUGAAGGUUCUUUAGGUAGAAAGUUCAUGCAUCUAUGUCAUUCCAACUGACCAAUCAUAGAGAACCAGAGCAACAAAGACCAAAUUAGGUAACCCUCCCAGAUUUCGUAUAUAUCUCACAGAGUUGAUCCUUGCAAAAUCAGUUUCCACAACCCAAUUUCCUUGAACUACCCUUGAGAUUCUAAAGGUCUCCAUCUCCAGGGACCAUGCUGAUUAACUCACCAAAUUGCGCAACAGCUUAUUGUUCACCACCCAAUGCAUUGCAUAAUGAAACAUCUCAAUCAAUACAAGCUAAAAUUGCCAUAAAAUUCCAAUCUAAUACAAUAUAGCUCGACCAUUAGACAAAAGACAUGAUCUAGGCAGCCUUGGAAGACUUCGAAAAAAUAGCAAAUAGAGGGAAACACCAAAUUGACCUCAAUGAAGCGAGAGUUAAGCUCAACAACCUAUACUCGAGUGGUGAAAAGCCAAAGAGAUGGAGUAGGCGACAUUUGACGAUUGCCAAAUCUAACCCAAGUUGGAUGGCGAUGCCAGAUCUAAGCCAGCAACUUUUUUUUAAUAAGAAUUUCUGCAACGAGCGAUGGCUCUAAUACCAUGUGAAUAAAGUGGGAGAGAAAUUCUGUUUAAUUUCAAUGUAUCUAGAAAAGAGUAUAUGGAGCUUAUUCAUGGGCUUGAAUACAUGACAAUUUAGGGAAAUUGAAUUGAAUAUGCAUAAUCAAAAUAACCAAAGGAAAUAUCUUAAAUAUCUCAAGAAAAUACCUAAAUAUAUCUAACAACUGCCAUAACUACAAAGAUCCUUUGUGAAAAAGUUCUCGAGUAUUUGUUAAUUAAUUUCAGGCAAUCUUUCAACCUCAAAUUCAACAGGUGAAAGACAGUACUUGGCAGAGAUAUGCACGAUUGGGAGGAUGAGGCAUAAGAACAUAGUGCAACUUCAAGGUUGGUGCCAUGAGGGGGAACAACUUCUGCUAGUCUACCAAUACAUGGCCAACGGUAGCCUUGAUCGCUUUAUUGGCAAGCAGUCCCUCAGCUGGGAGACCCGAUACGAGAUCCUAAUUGGUGUGGCCUCGGCACUACUCUACCUCCAUGAAGAAUGCGGGAACCCUGUGGUCCACCCAGACAUCAAGCCCAACAAUGUCAUGCUAGACGCCAACUACAAUGCCUACUUGGGUGACUUUGGGCUCGCGAGGCUGAUCCAAAGCGAUGCCUCAGCAACAACCGUGCUUGCGGGCACCCCCGGGUACCUAGCCCCCGAGGUGGCAUACUUAGGGAAGGCCACACCAGAGUCGGAUGUGUAUAGCUUUGGGAUGGUGGUCCUGGAGGUGGUGUGUGGGAAGAGGUCAAAGGGGAUUACAGAAGAGGACAACUUGGUGGAUUAUGUGUGGAGUCUCUAUGGAGAAGGCUUACUCUCGGAGUGUGUGGAUGAGCAAAUGGAAGGCCAAUUUGAUGAGGAGCAAGUGGAGAGGGCACUAAUAGUGGCCCUUGCUUGCUUGCACCCUUACUCUGCAUGCAGGCCAAAGAUGCGAAAGGUGGUCCAAAUUUUCCUGAACCCAGACGAGCCGCUGAUGGAGCUGCCCAAGUCCCGACCCAGCAUGGCCUUUGUGCCUGUCUCAUUCUCGGGCUUGACCACUUUCACCUACUCCUCCACAUCCAAGACCAAUUCUGCCUUCACUCGCUCACGACUCGGUCCACCCCCGGAGAUAGAACUUGAUCAUGAACAUGGGAUGCCGGGGUUGCAUUAAUGGUCUCAAGAAUUGAAGAUUGUAUCAGAAAAUUUCAGGUGAUUCAUAUCUGAGUCAUUUAUGAAUAAGUGUCAUACAUGAAUAAGUUUUACUCUUUAUUAUGUUACGAUGUAGUGCGGAAUGGAUACUCUUUGAAGGUAGCUGUGCUGUAUUUACUCUAUGAAUGUUAUGUUCUCAUGUGAAAUUGAGUUGGAGUUGUUCAAGUCAUGCCACCUCAUUGCAGGAGUUACACGGAGCAAACAAAGAAGAAGACCCGCUUAAAUCAGGAAUGAUAUACAUAUGUGGAUUGUAUAUUUAUGAAUUUCAAGGCUCACGACUUAGUUCACCACCAAAGAUAGAACUUGAUCAUGAACAGGGGAUGCUGGGGUUGUGUUAAUGGUCUUGAGAAUUAAAUAAUAUAUGAGAAAAUUUCACGUGAUUCAUAUCUGAGUCAUACAGAAAUGAGUUUUACUCAGUAUUAUGCUAUGAUGUAGUGCAAAAUGGAUACUAUUUGAAGCUAGCUGUGCUGUAUAUACAUUCCUCUGUGAAUAGUAUGUUCUUAUGUGAAAUUGAGCCGGAGUGGUCCAAGUAAUGCUUGCCGCCUCAUUGUAGGAGUUACAUGAUGAAGAAGAAGACCCACUUAAAUCAGGAAUGAUUUAAAUAUGUUGAUUUGUAUAUUUAUGAAAUGAAUGAGAAGUGUUUCACUUGCUCAUAGCUCAGAUCACCAUAGGAGAUAGAACUCGAUCAUAAACAGGGGAUGUCAGGGUUGCGUUAAUGGUCUUGAGAAUUAAAGAUCAUAUUGGAAAAUUUCACAUGAUUCACAUCUAAUUCAUAUAGGAAUGAGUUUUACUCUAUAUUAUGCUAUGAUGUGGUGCAUAAUGGACACUCUUUGAAGCUAGCUUGUUGUAUUUACACUCCUCUGUGAAUAUUACGUUCUUACGUGAAAUCAAGCUAGAGUGAUUCAAGUCCUAACGUCUCAUUGCAAGAGUUACAUGAAGCAUAUGAAGAAGAAGACCCACUUAAAUUAGGAACGAUUUACAUAUGUUGAUUUGUAUAUUUAUGUAUUUCAAGGCUCAAAUUAAUUUAAUGAAAGAAAAAUAAUGUGUAAAAUGAAAGAGAAGAGUUUCUGGCAAGAGAGAGAGCUUGAUUUUGCAGCUACAGGGAAGUUACAUAUGUCGAUUUGUAUAUUUAUGAAUUUCAACGCUCAAAUUAAUAUAAUGAAAGAAAAAUAAUGUGUAAAAUGAAAAAGAAGCGUUUCUAGCGAGAGAGAGAGAGAGAGAGAGAGAGCUUGGUUUUGUAGUUACAAGGAAGUCCCACAAAAAAAUAAAAGGCAAAUUGACGUGCGUUUACCGAGAGUCGAAAUCUCUCCUUUCCACGGUCGCUGCACGGCUAACGAACCAUUGGGCAGAUUAGGCUCGAGCAUCAUGGUUGAGAUAAAAGCAGAAGCAAACAUCUAAUGAAUGCAGGUAAGCAUUUAGGGCCACACCUGUGCCAACUGACACAUCACAUGAAUGGGUUGUUCCGUCUUCGCCCAAUCAAGAACAAGUCGAAAACCCGAGAUUCUUAGGUCAGCCUUGGGUACUCCACACUGGAUUGCCGAGUGACAAGCGGCGAACACUCCUUUCACGACCGCAUUAGUAGUUCUCCAACUCUACAUUUGAAUCAGUCAUUGGAAGGCUUAUUAAGUGGACGGGCCUUGGCUCGCACCUAACCCUGUUGUGGAGUGCGAGUUUUGACUCCAAGGAUCAAAUGAAGCACGCCCAAUCCUGAAUCAUAUAAUGAACUUUAUGCAUCACCGACGUUCAAGAGAAAUAGAUAUAUUUCACAUCCUGAAUGAUAUUAAAGUUGAUGUUCGGGCCAUACUAUCUCACAUCCCUUUUUACUUGAAAACACACCCUUUUGGGUCUUUUCAUAAAUAUAUUCAUGUUGUUGACUUUUACUUUUUUGGUGGAAAUAGAACCAUAACAUCGAUAUAAACAUAAGUACAUAAAGAAAGAGCUCUCCAAACAAGGUUGUCGGCAAUGCUACUACUGUAAAAAUGGAGAGUGCUAGAAUUAUAGACUUAGUUUGGAGUAUUAUUAAAAAGAAUGUUGUUAGGUGAUUGGAUAUUACUAAGUAAACCAUUCUUAUUAGUAAGUUUCAAUAUCUUUUAGCCAGCAGUGCGCUAUAUGCGAUUUGAGUAAUUAGAUAGUGAUGUGGUACUUCUAUUCAUAUAAGCAAAGAUAGUAAGGCCGAUUAAAGUCUAAAAAGAGCAUGAUUACGAGCAGCCAGUGAAAUAAUAAUUGGAGUUCUUAACUUACAUAAAAAAAAAAAGAGAAGAUAAAAAGGAGAAAUGCACAAAAUGAUAAUUGAGAUGAACUAUGUGAUCCUAUAUUAAAAAGUAAAAAUACUGCAUACCCUCCUUAUUUUUUCAUUCUAUUACCACUUUUCUCUCCUUUUAGUUUUUGAAGUACAUUCUACAUCUUAAGACAAACCACAUUAUCUAAAGAACCAAAUUGCCGUCCCUUAUAGAGGGAAAAAAAAAAAUCCCCCUUUAGGGUGAGCAUAUAGAACAGCCCGAAUUGGAACCACUUGAACUGAAUCAAACCGGCUGAUUUUGGGCAGCUCUAGAGGGUGCCGGUUUGGUUCUUGAUUCCAUAAAAUUGAAAUUGGUGAUUUUUGGUCCGGUUCUCGGUUCCAAGGAGAGAACCAGACUGAACAAACCAGACCAAUUUAAAUAUAUUUUCAAAAAGUAAAGUGUAAACCCAAACUCUAAUAUCCUCUCACACCUCGCUUAUUCCAAAUGAUGAAGUAAAUCUUUGUUUCUUUCAUAUUACUGUAUUGGUUCAUCCAAGUUGCUCCUUUUGUUUCUUGCUUCUUUCUUUAUUUCACCUUUUCUUCUUUUCCUACAAAGAUUCACUAAUUUUACCUCCCUCGCUUACUCAUACUUUGUGAGUCCAUCAUUUAUAAAAAAGAAUCCACCAAAUAAUCCUCAAUUUUUCGAGCAUGCCCCACCCCCCCCCCCCCCCCCCCCCCAAAUAAGCAUGGCCCCAUCAUCUCUCAAUCUUCUUCGCAAAUUUUGGAUGAAUCCCAAACUUGAAUUGCAACAUGGCUUGGGAAUUCAAUUAAUUAAAACAGAGUGAGUUGGACUUGUUAGAGUUCCAGUUCCAUUUGUUGUAUUUGAAUGUUCCUUAGGUAGAGGUAUAAAACCUUUUUUAGAUAUACAGGAUCAAAGUUGUCAGGUCUAAUUGGAGUGACGAGUAAAAACUUUUAACCAAGAUAUAGAAUCCACUGAUUCUAUUGGAUUGCUCGGGAAACACACCGGUUUGGUCUAGUCCCAGGACUAGAUGAUUUGCUUCUUAGUUCCUAGUUCCUGAAUGAAAUUGAACCAACUCACGAACCGAUCAUCCCUAAUCCCCCUAACUCUAUGAUGUAAACUCACAUUUCGAGAAACUAUUAAUACAAAGUGAUAAUAACUUGAAAGUAGCAAAAUAUUUGUUAUUUUUUUUUUUUUAAAGAUAAGGCUAUAUUUGGCAAUUAGGAUAAAAUUCAUAAUAGGAUAAUAUCAUAUCCCGCAUUUGGUGUUUGCUUAGGACAAGAUAAAGAUGGAUAUAAGAAAGAUAUAGCCCUAAAAAAAUUAUCAUAUGAGGAGAUAGGAUAAAUAUGGAUAUGAUUUCUAAUAUUCGUAAUAGGAAAAUUAUAUUUCUUGAAUACUUUUUUUUUAAAUUAAUAAAAUUAAAAAUAUAUGUAAAUAUAAAUAAUAUUUGAAUUAUAAUAUAAAAAAAUUCAAAAAAACAAAAAAUAACAUUUUAAAAAAAAAUUAAUGUUAUUAUUUAAAAAUUCGAAUUUAAUUCUAUCUUAUAAUAUAAAUCUGAUAUAUAGAUUUAAGGCAAAAUGACAUUGUUACGUCUCAUGUUUUAGCUAUGUCAGCAUCACGUGAGAGAGAAAAUAUGAAAAGAAAAAUCACCUCAGCGUUUUUUGAUAGUCAAAUCAAAUAGAUUAAAUGAAAUGACUUGUUUGCAUUUUUUUUUAAAGUGAAACUAUCUCUAUUUAUCAUUAAGAAAGUCUGCACCUUAUUGGACUACUUCAAAAAGUGCAAGCUACUAAGAACCGGCGCCCAAAAGCUCAUCAUAUAUCUUUAGAACUUUCAAUUGACAGGUCCAUAGGAGAGAGUUAUGACCAAGUAAACAAUUAAUAUGCUGUAAAGAAGGCUCGCAAGAGAGGAGAUGAAAAUUACUUGCCCCACGCUGAAGAGGUCAAUUGCGCAAUGCAAUGAAACAUUUCAUUUUCAAACGUGCAAGGACGCCCACGCAUUAUGCUUUGACUAGGGAAAGAGAAGAACCACUUUGUGUUCUUUUGGGCUCAUAUGCAUUACCCGCAUCCAAUUAAAUCAAAAGGCCUCCUUAGCUUGUCAUUGAAUAGAUAUAUGUCCCUAUAUCUCCACGUCCUAACGAGGCAAGAGACUGCAUCUCCUUCCAAUCAUAGGUAGUCAAUUCUUCGGGGGCAAGAAAGAAACAAACCCUAAAAACGGGAUAAGUACACUCUUAGUGCCAAAAGUUGUGUAUGGCGCUCACUUUGGUACCAAAAGUUUCAAUUGGAUCACUUAAGAGCCAAAUCGGAGGAAAAACGAUCACUUUGGUGCCACCGAUGAGAGAUUCUGACCAAAAUGAUUAUGUGGCUUUUAUAUUUAAAAAAAAUCGACAUGGCUUGAGAAACGACGUCAUUUUCCGUCCGCCUUAAGAAAACGACGGCAUUUUGCCAUCCUAAAUGGAUGGCCUCACAAAAGCGAUACCACACAACUCAUUUUGGGAUUUUUAUUUUAUUUUAUUUGGAGAUUGAAAUUAGGGUUCUGAUCCUCAUCGGCUGCCGACCUACCUCUCUUGGCCGCCGUUGCUCGGCCGUCGACCUAGCUCGCUUGGCCACUAUCACUCAGCGACGUGAGGUUCACACUUGAGCGAGAUCACAGCCUUCGACUUGGCUGCCGAGUGGCUGUCAUCGGGGUCGGGGUCGGAACCGUGGCCGCCGAGCAUGGGGGCCGUCGAGGAUGGUGACUGGCCCAUCACCAGCGGAGGUGGAGGUGAGGGAUGUGGGCGGUUGAAGGGGGAGGAGGAGGGAAAAUCAUCGUAAUUUUUAAAACAACACCAGGGAGUGGCCAAGAUUAUCUGAUAGGUCGAAUCGGAACCGGUUGUCGUUGAUGAAAAUGGCGUCCAGAUCCUUGUCGAAGAGCUCCCGUGGGACCGACCCGUCGAACUCGUUGAACUAGAGGUCCAAGAACUUUAGUGCCGGGAGCUCUAGCACGACCCUCGGGAACUUCUCGGCGAACUGGUUGUUGCUCAGAUCCAGCUCGAAGAGUCGCUUUAGGUUUCAGAACUUCUGCGGCACACUCGGUUGGAGUUGAGGUGGAAGAGCGCGAGGUCGGCGAGGAAGCCGAGCUCCUCGGGGAGGUACCCGACGAUGUCGCCAUGGUUGAGGUCGAUGCCAGUGACGAUGCGGAUGUUGAGGUUGUCGGGGGCGAGGAAGCAUAAGACAUUAGAGUAGCUGCAGAUGUCGAGGUCGACCCAGUUGGCGGUGAAGUUGUUGGGGUCGAAAAGGAUGGCCUGCUUUAGGGCUUGGAGGGCGACAUAGGCGUUGCGGAGGUGUGGGUUCUCAAAGGAGGCGGAGGGGUCGACGGUGACUUGCUCGCCGCGAUUGCUGAACUCGUUGAGGUAGUGGAGGAGGUGGCGAUGCUUGGCGGCGCCAUGGGCGAUGGCGGAGAGGACAGUAAGGGAGGAGAGGAGGAUGAAGAGGGCAGUGGUGGUUGAGAUUGUCCAGCAAAUUUAGGGUUUAGGAUUUUGAAUUGGGGGAGAGACACCAAACGGCAUCAUUUUGUUGUUUAAAUGCUAACUGUACUCUCUGGCGAGCCACAUUAGCUUCAAAAAUAAAUAAAAAAGUACUAUGUCGGAUUUCUGGCCAACCGGAUCGGUAUUGGCACUAAAAUGAUUUGAUUGAAACUUUUGGCACAAAAGUGAGCGCUAUACACAACUUUAAUACUGAUAGUGUACUUAUCCUCCCAAAAAACACUGAUAGUGUACUUAUCCUCCCAAAAAACUGAAUACAACCAAGAACAAGAAUUCACUUCUUUCCCAUCCCGCCAAUCCAUGGCCCUCGUAACUUCGAUUGGAUCCCCAUCUCGACUCAUGUCACAACCCAAGAGGACAAAUUAGGAAGCAAACCUGCGAACCGUUCUAUAUAUGUGCCAACACUGCCUCAUCUGUUUUACAGGGUCUCUCGCAUACGAACCAUGUUCUUGCUUCUGAUCUUGGUCUCGAUCUUCAUCGGUUCUCGGGAAGUUUAUUCUUCGACUUCUUCUUCUAGUCUUGAGCCUACAAAUUUCUUUUUCCCUUCUUUUGACCUCAGCUCUUGCACCUGCGAGGAGCUCAUUAACAUGGGUUCAGCGAGCUUGCAAGACAGGUAUUUGAACAUCACACCAGAGCUGAAGGAGUAAGGUAAUUUGAGCCUUGUGCCCAUGCCGACAAACUGGGUAGGGCGGGCUCUUUAUUCCCGGCCGGUCGUGGCUUGGCCUGCCAUGAUCUCCACCAUGUUCGCUGUCAGGAUCACCACAUUACCGAAUUCCAUAGCCUCUAGCAACGGGAUGUCUUUUCUCUUUGCACAAGAUAAUAGCUCCUCACCAUCGGACAAUUACGGCUCAUCUAUCUGGAUUUUUAAUCAGUCCACUCAAGGUACCUCCACCUAAUCCUUUGUUAGAUGAAUAUGAAAUCUGUGGUAGUUUGCCGGAGUGUUGAUUGAAAGACAAUCUCUUUUCGACUGAAUAUAUAUAGGCGGCGUUGUCCGACAACUAGCCGUGGAAAUGUAUACUUUCAUGAACAAGUUUGAUCCCAACGGGAACCACGUAGGCAUAGACACAACAAGGUUAUUAAUCCAGUCUAUGCCGAGAGCCUAAACAACAUAGGAGUGAACCUAAAAAGUGAAAGGGACAUCAAAGUCAGAAUUGACUAUGAUGGCUAUAAAUAUAAACUCCACAUCUCAUUGGCAUAUUCUGGGAAUUCGCUAAUAAGCGUUCUCAAUCAUUCAAUCAGAAUGUCGGAAACGGUCCCCAGUCUUGUGUAAGUGGGUUUUUUGGGAUCUACUGGGCCUCUACCCGAAAGCCAUCAGGUCAUUAAUUGGGUAUUCGUCUUUUUUCCUUUAUCAUUGGAGAAGCGGCUCAAGAGAGACGACAGGAUCAAAACCACACUGAUCUGGUCGUGCCAAGCGUGAUGACAGUAUUGUUCAUCGUGUUAUGCGUCUACCUACUCAUUGAGAACACGCCCAGGAAGAGAAACAAGAAGGAUGCCGACAUGGAGAGCUAAUCGAGGCAGGCUGCGAACGUUCCAAAGAUGUUCACCUACAAGGAGCUAGCGAAGGCCACUCACAACUUCAGAAAGGAGCCGGCUUGCUACUGAUGGUUUCAGAAGAGUUUACAGAGGUUUUAUCUCAGAUCCUCCGGUUGAAGUAGCCGUGAAAAAGAUCUCGGCAACCUCAAAACAAGGUCUGCUUCCAUACUUGUAUCACAUCCUUUUAGCACAUUUUCUUGAACAUGGUCCUGUUAAUAAGAUCUAAACAUCACGUAAAUAUGGUGCUGGAGCAAUUUUGUAUUUCGCUUUUGUUCAUAUUCAUCACUAGUCACCACAACUGCGAAGAUCCUGUGUGAAGAAGUUCUCGAUUUCACUAUUUGCCAAUUAACUUUAGGGUAAUUUUUCAACCUCAAAUUCAAUAGGAGAAAGAAAGUAUUUGGUAGAGAUAUGCACCAUUGGAAGGGUGAGGCACAAGAACAUAGUAUAGCUCCAACAUUGGUGCAACGAGGGGGAACAACUUCUACUAGUCUACCAAUACAUGGCUAACGGUAGCUUGGACCGCUUUAUUGGCAAGUAGUCCCUCGGCUGGGAGACCCAAUACAAGAUCCUGACUGGCCUGGCAUCAACGUUGCUCUACCUCCAUGAAGAAUGCGGGAACCCCGUGGUCCACCAAGACGUCAAGCCCAACAACGUCAUGAUGGACUCCAAGUACAAUGCCUACUUGGGUGACUUUGGUCUCGCAAGGCUGCUCCAGAACGACGCCUCAGUCACUACCAUUCUUGUGGGCACCCCAGGUACCUGGUCUCGGAGGUGGCAUACACAGGGAAGGCCACGCUGGAGCCGGCCAUGUAUAGCUUUGGGAUGGUGGUCUUGGAGGUGGUGUGUGGGAGGAGGUCAAAGGGAAUCAUGGAAGAGAACAGCUUGGUGGAUAAUAUGUGGAGUCUCUACUAAGGAGGCUCACUCUUGGAGUGCGUGGAUGGGAAAAUGGGAGGCCAAUCUGAGGAGGAGCAAGUGAAGGGGGCAUUGAUAGUAGGUAUUGCUUGGCUGCACCUAUACUCUGCGUUUAGGCCAAGGAUUCAAAAGGUGGUCCAGAACCUGAACAAGCCACUGAUGGAGUUGCCCGAGUCCUGACCAGCGGGGUACCGGUCUCAUUCUCGAGCUUGACCACCAUCGGCUUCUCCUCCAGGACCAGGUCCGCCUUCCAUCCCUCACAGCUCAAUUCACUGCAUGAGAUUGAACUUGAGCAUGAAUUGGGGAUGCCGGAGUUGUGAUGAUGCCAUCGAGAACUAGAGAUUGAAUUGGAAAACUUCGACCAGUUCGUGUUUGAAUUGUACAAGAUUGAGUUUUCUUUUUGAGUACUUGUUAUGUUACACAUGUUGUGCAGAAUGAAUAUUCUUAUAAAGCUAGGUGUGUUUACGUUCCUCUGUGAAUAUUACAUCCUUACAUGAACUGGGGAAACGACAGACGUACAUUGUUUGACCAAAAUGAAAUCGAACUUCAGUAUUUCAAGUCAUGACGCCUCAUGGCAGGAGUUACAUGGAGCACACAAAGAAGAAGACUCAUUUGAAUUAGGAACAAUUUACAUAUGUUGAUUCGCAUUUAAAAAUAUAAAAUAAAAAUCAAGGCUCAAAUUAAUCUAGUGAAAGAAAAUGAUUAACACCAUGAAACACCCUAAACUGACAUACAUAUGAUAAAUUUACAUAAAAUAAUUUUUUAAUCACAAAAAAAUCCCUAACUUAUUAAAAACGUGGAAAGCAACGUGUAAAUGUAACGUAGCGGGAAAAAGUCCAACACCAGUUGUUCCUAUUGGGAAAUCACCCUUGGUUUGUUGGCUGGGUCCACCUUCAUGUGGAGUCUAUCUAGCAUUAAAAAAAAGAAAAAAAAAAAGAAAAGAACGAAAAGAAGUGGAAGUGGUGAUGUGCGUGUGUGUCCAAAAAGUGAAGAAAACAGAGAAAACAAAAACUGCAAAAGCAAGGGGGAAGAGAAGAAAAGAAGAGGGCUGCAACUUUGCAACUUUGGUUCGAAGGCCAAAUAUUGACGGAAUUGGCUCAAAUUUCAGUAUGUUGUUCGUGAGAUCGAGGGCUACAAGUUGAUGAUUUUUGUUCGUCAAGAACCGUCCCCGAAUUCUCCAGUUGCGGUUAAGGUUUUUUUGCUCAAAACUUGUUUAUUUACCUAUGUGGUGAGAAAAUGAUGAUUGUAAAGUUGAUAUUGAACCUCUAGUGUGUGAUUAGAGAAUAAUACUUUGUGUAUCAUACUAUUCUUGGUGAUUAGUGGAUGUUUUUGGGUGGUCCGUGGUUUUUCCCGCAUCAGGUUUUCUAUGUUAAAUCCUUGGUGUCAUUAUUUGCUUUGUCUAUUUAUUAUUUUAGCAUUAUAUUUGCAUAUUGUGAGGCUAUACAUUGCUGGUUGUUGUUGGAAGUUAAGAGAAUUUUAUUUGAUUUAGUUUCUGGGAAAAAUUGAUCCUGGAUUGCAUUUGGCCGUGGUGAAUUAUUGUACCCGAGUUCUCCCCAACAUGGUCCAUCCCCUCCAUUCUCAAAGGCCCUUGAAAGGCCCCCCCCCCCCCCCCCCUCGGGUCGGUUUUUAGGUACUAAUAGGAUUUAAAAAAGCUAAUUGGAAAAAAUUAAAGAGAAAAGAAGACUCUAGAGAUGAUCAUAAAAAGUCAAUUGUUUUUUUCUUCUUUAUUGUUAUUUCAACUUUUUCGAGAUCACAAACAAUGUCUAUUGCCAAGAUUGUCUUAGUGCAUUUACAAGGUUGUUCUCAUGGAAAUUUCAAUACUGGGCAAAUUACAAUGGCCUUUCAAGUUAAUUUUAGGCUCUAUUCAUUUCACAAAAAAUAUAACAUUUUUGGAAAAUGUUUUCUACGAAAUGUUUCUUUUAGAAAAAUGACAAUAUUUUCUGAUGUUCAAUUGAAAUCUAAAAAUAAAGUGGAAAAAUAUUUUCUGCUGUUCAAUAAAGAAAAUGUUUUCCUUCAUGUAUUCCUUUUAAAUAAUUUUUUUAUUUUAUCUUUUUAAAUCAAUUUUAAGUUCUUUUUCUUUUCUUUCUCUUUUUUCUUCUUCUUCCUCGGCCCCGAUGACUGGCCACAGGCUAGCUCAAGUCUCACUACAGGUUGACAAAGCUCCUCGCCUAAGGCUAGGAAGCUCUAGCCUCACCAAAUCCAACGAGAUAGGUGAGGCUUGAGCCUUGCUAGCUUGCUGGAUCUAGCAAGGCCCGAGCUCACUUGAGGUUGUCAGGCUCACCUGGGUGAGGAGAGGCUCGUCCUCAUUGGAAUCUAGUGAGCUCGAGCUUUGUCGGCUUGUGGCGAGGCUUGAGCUCGCCUGUAGUUAGUUGCUAGCCGUCAUGGCUUCGACCAGCCACGGUUGGCGACCAGUCAAAGAAGAAAAAAUUAAAAAUUAAAAUGAAUUUUAAAAUGAAUUUUUUAUAAAAGAAAAAUAAAAGGCAAAGGUGUUGAGUGAAAAAAAAAAAAAACUAGGUUUAGAAGUAAAGAGAGAGGAUGGAAAAUGUUUUUCACUUUAGUGAAAAAUAUUUUCCCAUAUUUUAGAAAAAUUUUGUUGGUGGAAAAUGCUUACCAGUUCAUAUUCCGUCAAUCAAAUGUCGAAAAAUCCUAAAAAUAUUUUCAAAAAGGUUAUUUUUUAUGAAACGAUUAAAGUCUUAAUUAGGCCGUUUUAGACCUGACCGGAGUGAAUGGCAAGAUGGGUUGACUUGGACAAACGAAAAUGUUCUCAGACAUUAUUUGACCCAUUUUGGCCCAAGCUUGAUCGAAUUUAUAUGAAAAAAUUUAUACUCUCUGUAUGGAGCAAUUUUAGGCUUGACUUACCCAUUGAUAAAAUCCUCUCAAUUUUCAAAGGUAAUAUUGCUCAUUAUAGAAAAGAAGGGUGCCAAGAUAUGUAAUAUGAGUUUAUUGAUUUUAUCUAAUGUGAAAUAUUUUGAGUCCCAAAAAUCUUUUCUAAUCGGUUUAUUGAGUAAUCAAAUUUUAAGAACUACAAAAUCUAAAAAGUCAAAAUAAAACAUGUCUUAGGUAAUAUUACAGCGCCUACCGAAAUAGAGGAAUGGGAGAACUGUUAACCUAGGAGCUGGAUUUGCUUUCUAGGGAUCACGAAUUUGAUAGCGGGCGGGAGCGAGCGUGGUCAUAAUUGGCGGAACAGAGUCAAGUCGUAUCUCUUUUCACAUGAUAACAACCACCACCCUUUGGAAAAGCCCUAAGGUCAAACCCCUCUUUGUCUUUUUUUUGGAAAAUAUUUAUUUUAUUUUGUUUUAGGUCUACUAUAGAUGAAUUUUAAAAUAUUGCAUUUAAAGGACUUCCUAGAACAUACCAACCUACCUAAAUGGAAAAGUUUUAAAAAUUUACAAGGAAUUAGAAGAAGACUUUUCCAUUUCCUCACAAGCUAUUACUCCGUGCACUAGAUGCAUGUGAGUCCGAUGUUCUAUAAUUGACGAUAGAUCGUGCAUGACCAAACCUAGCAUGACCGUUGAUCACAUAGAUCUCAGUUGAAUCUAUCGAUCCAAAUUUAGGCAAGAAUUUCUCCCCAGUCCAUCUAGAUUAAAAUUGACGCCACAUUGGGCUCACAAGGCAUUUUUAUUUCUAGGAAAAUUUUUUCUAAAUCAUUCACUUUUGGCAAAAUAAAUGCAUCCUUAGACUUUAUUUAUUUUCCAAAAAUUAAAUAAUUCAAAAAAUAUUUUUCUAAUAAUGAUCGUUUUUAUCACUUGAUAUAAUCAUUCAUUAAAAAUAGUUUCAUUAUCGACAUAAUUUAUGUCCGAAGAUUGUUGUGAAUGAUAAAAAUAUUUUUAUUUCAUAUAUUUUUAUAAGUGAUACGGACAAAUAUUUUUUAGAAAAAUAUUUAUUUGGAUUAUUUAUUUUUUGCUAAGUAAAUGGAGUCUCAGCUCUCAAAUUCCCAUGAUUUUGUUGACUUUUUUAUUGUUGUAUUUUUUUUUUGAACAGUUUUUAUUGUUGUAUUGAUCCAACGAAAAUGUGGGCGGGCGAUGGCGAUCGCCACUAUGGGUGGGUGCCCGUGCAUCAACGUCACCGGCGUUCAGUGUGGGACCGGCCAUGGAAUUAGGUUUGCGUAUUUAACUCAACUGAAAAUGGUGCGAGGAUCAAGACAUGGGAGGUUGGUCGGUAUACAUUAAUUUUCACAAACUAAUAACAAAAUUAGGCAAAAUAAAAUAUACUUAUAUCCAAAUUCAUGUUUGCAUUGAUAUAUUUUAUAGUGAAUUCAUCAUCUUUAUUUUAUUGCAUGUAGAGUGGAUCUAGUUAUGUUAGUAGUAUUGAUUUUCAAAAUUGUUACUAUUUCCUACGCUCGUAACCUAAUAAUAAUUGACCAAGACUAUUGUGAUGAUCAAUAGUAUUGUUGUAAGGUGAAAAACUAUGUUUCUAGUUAAUGCUUGCAUGGCUUAUUAGGGAUUUUUUAAAUUGCUAAUGUGUGCUCAUAUGGCUGCAAUCAUAAAUCUAGGUAUAAAAUGCAUUGAAGCAAUAGAACUUGUAAUUCCCGUGGUGUCUCAUUCAAACUGCGAUUGCAGAUAAUGUCAUCGACAGUAAAGGUAAACAAUGUGACGUAUCCAAACGUGAGAGAGACUUCGAGGAUGAGCUAUCGAUUGUGUUGCAUUCCACUAGAGGGGAUGGAUUGCAUGGACAUUGUGACGAAGCACAUCAACCUCGACUCUUCGGAACCCAAGAAGAGGAGCUACACCAAUUGCAAGAAUGUUGUCACUGCUAGUUUCACUUCUGUUGAUCCUCCCAUAUCUUGCCACACUUCAUAUGGUUAAUUGUUGUAGCCGACAACACCCAUGCAAUAAGCUAAUCAAUGUAGUUUUCUUUUCUCGACCAAUGAUCAAGAUAGAUCAUAUCGUUAGUUUAAUCACACUUACAUACACCCGGUAGUCAAGAUAAUUUGUGCAAGUUUUGUCAUUCAUGGGAGGGCCCAAAAAGUGUUAGAAUUGAUGUUCGGAUGAAAUUAUUUUCAUGCCCCUUUUUACUUUAUAUCGCACCCUUUUGAGUCCUUUUUAUAAGUACAUUUGUUUUGUCUACUUUUACUUUUUUGGUGGAAUAGAACCAUAGCAUCAAUAUAAAUGCAAGUACAUAAAGAAAGAUUUCUCCAAGCAAGGUUGUCGGCAAUGCUAUCGUUAUAAAAAUGGAUAGUAUUGACACUUGAAUUUUUUCGGCCGAUGCAUUAAAAUUUUUUUGUUAACUAUGAAAGUUAACAAAGACUCCAGUCAACUCAACUUGACCCGGGAUUCACCCUGCCCAUUAGGCCCGGACUGAUAUGACUUGAUCCAAUCCGGGAAUAAAACCGUGCCUCUCUCUCCUUGGCCAAAUCUCCUAUACCACAUGGACUCACGUUCCCAUUACUCAAUGUUCUCACUAUUCACAAUGGUCGCUUGGGCGUCUAUUUCUUUAGGUCAGGUGACGCAAAAUUGAAAACCCCAGAGAAGACAGAGGCGUCUCUUUCACACUCGAACGACUUCUUGCGUUGACUGUAGGGCAGUUGGAAAUAUGGAGCUGUCUUCGGAUUUAAAGAGGUUUCACGUACGAAAGGAGAAAAGGACAGCACAAGGAAAAUAGGUCUUAUUUUAUUCCAAGAUAUCUUAGAAGGAGAAGGAGAACACGGUUUUCCCUAGGCGGAUAUUCCCUAUCCUUAUCUUGGUCGCUCUCCAUUAGCCAGCAGUAACUACCAGUCCGCCAUUGCCGGCCACUGACGAGCCUCCUCUUUAAAGAAGAACAAAAGCAGAGGGCAUGGACUGAGGAGAAUUGCGGCCUUUUUCGGGCGUCCAGAAGUCGCUCCCUCCAGGAUUCUCUCCGAGCCAUUUCUUUCCUUUUCUUUGCCAAUCCUCGCCGUCGCAGGAUCGCCGUGUCGUCAUUGUUGGUUCAGCAAGCGCAGCGAACCCUGUUUUGCCCCUGUUUUUGGGCUGUCAAGAUCCGAAGCAACUCGUACGUGUUUGAAGCUUCAUGGCCGGCGUGCACUCUCAUCGGCAAUACUUUUCAAACAUGUAAACUUGACCAGCAACCGCAACCCAGAACUCCUCCUUGGUAAGGUAAUGUUGAACCCUCUGCCUUUCCCUGUCAUGAGUGGAACGCCGAGACUCGGUUUCUUCCGUUCAUGCUCGUGUCGGAUCUGAAUAGGUUAGUUGUGUUGAUUUUUGAACAUUUCUGAGAGACUUCUUUCGAGCCUGGAUGGGAGUUCAAGUCUUGAAACGGUUAAGUACUUUUUUUUCCUGAAUCCACGUUCAUAACCUGUGUGAGGAAAUGCUAUAACGUUUCUAUUUUAAGAAUAAUUUUUAUUUAAAAAUAAUUAUUUUAUAUUUCUAUUCUCGAAAAUAAAGAUAUAGGUGUUUUUUACUUCUUUGUCUCAAAUAUAUACUAUUUUUUAUUCCGAAAAAUAAAAUAAAAAAUUAAUUAAUGUUAUCAAAUUUAUUUGUGUUCUGAAGAACAAAAGAACAAAAAAAGAAAAAGAAAAAUAGGAUGUUACCAAAGAUGUCCUAACAAUCCAGUGCAAGUUAGUUUCCUUUUUUGUCUAACUCGAGAGCAUAUUGCCCCGGAUUAAGUCACCUUAAUUGUUUUUCAAAGUCUUUCUAAUGACUGAACGCGUUUUUUUUCUCCAUAAUCCGUUUUUCUUGUGUUCUAUGCUCUCGAGGUCACCAAUGGCGAUUGUUAGUGAGUUGAUGAUGUUGUAUCCGUGGAUGAGUGUUUGACCAUCAUGUGCAUCUAAACCGGUACAAUGUCCCUUUAUCUGCUUUGUCCUAACCAUUUAGUUUAUGUGUGAACGGUGUUGAUGAUAGAAGUGGAUAUUGAUGGAUGACAAGAAGGGAGAGUAAGCCGUAAAUUUGGUGGUGGUUCCGGGGUGAGCAAAGGCGAUGCUUGGUUUAAAGCUUUGGAGGUGUAAGUCAUGGAUGGAACCUUAUUUCUUUUUGAGGUGAUGCUAGCGGUCCGGAGGAUUGCAACAAAAACUUUCUUUUUCCAACACAACCGCGUGGAAAUUGCUAGGUAAAACUCAGCUUUCUCCCCUUCAUGGAAAAUGUAUGGUCGAGGGUUCACCGUUUAUCUUCCUAAAACUUUCUUUCUCCAACAAGUGCGUGAAAGUUGCCAAGCAAACACAGAGUUUUCUCCCUCUGAUGGAAAAUGUUUGGAUGAGGGUUCACCUUCUAUUAUUAGCAAAUCAAUUCCCUCAUUUUGUCGUUUAUUGUAAGGGGUCCCUUCUUUUUGUACUCAUAAAUGCUCAAAGGUAAUUUAUUGUAAAGGAAAUUGAUUGGCCGGUUGUACUGUUAGUUUGGAAAACAGAUGGCGAACCCUCAGCCAUAUAUUUUUCAUGAGAGGGAGAAAAAUUUGUAUUUUGCUUGGCAAUUUUCUCGGGAAAAAAUCGUCAGAUGGUCACAUCAUCAUGCUAGCAUCACCCUAUUGUAAGAGAACACGGGGUGGAGUUCUGGGAAUGGGAAGUGAGAGUGGAAGACGACGAGAACACAAGGAAGAGGAGACUGGGUUUGGUGAAGGUGGGCUUAAGUGAGAUUUUUGGGCUUCAAUUCGUUUGAUAUAUUUGGGCUUAGUUGUUCUAGUUAUGAUUGGGUUGGUAAUUUUCGGGCUUGGGAAUUGGGUUGAUGGAUCCAGGCUUAGAGUGGGCUUGACGCUUCCCUUUAGUAAAAAUGGGCUUGCGUUGUGGUAGGUUACAAUGGGUCUAGUUGAUUUGGGCCUAAUCUGUUUCUAGUAAAAAGGGGCUUGGUUUAUUUCUAGAGGAAAUUGGGCUUUUGAAUUUCUACUGGAGAGAGGCUUAACUAGUAAGCCCUUUUGCCUGCGGUGGCCCGUGUCCAUGUGAAGCCCAUGCCUAAUCCCACACGCGGGUAAUAAUUUUUUUUAAAAAAAAAGGGAAAACAUUCGAAAAAAAAAAAAUCAGAAAACGGCUAGGAAUAAAAUCCUUGAUUAGGUUGUUAAAUCUUAGUGAUAUAUUUAGCUUAGUUUCGGUUGGAUAACAUAACUCUUAAUUUUUCAAGUUUUAGUAGUUACUUUUGAGAUAGCUUUGACUUAGAUCAAUCUUUUAAGUAACAACUUCAACCCAAUUUGAACUUAACUCAUGGGGUUGCUAUCCUAGGCCUUAAUAACAGUGCUGUGUAUUUUGUAAUUGGUGCUUCAUUGAGUAUACUUUUGGAUGCUUUAUCUUUAUUGCAUUGAUUAUGAUUGUCUACUUAUCUUUGAUCGCGCUCAUGCAUGGAUAGCAUUUAUAGGCAUAGGUUAAUUAAAAAUGUUCAAAGAUUACGUGAAUUAUUUAGGUACCAAAAGAGCACUAGUUAGACAAUUAGUGCAAUUAAGUCUUGGUCUUAAAUCUCUGAUUGCAUAAGAAAUAAAGUAUCCUCCAUUUCACUUGACUUCUAGUCGACCUCAUAGACUAGUGGUGACUCCUAUUAUGGAUAGAUCAAUUUCAAUCGUAGUUUCCUAAUGUUGAGCAAGUUAACAGUUUGGGAAAAUCCAUGCUUAUUGAAGACUAUUGGUUCCAAACUCGACAUUACCUCCAAACCUAUCAUCUCCUUGACAUCAAUCGAUAGUGCUAGAAUUAUAAGCUUCUUUUCUUUUUUGGUUUGUGCUAGUAUUUUAGACUUACUUUGUAGAAUUGUUAAAAAGAAUAUUGUCAGGUGAUUGGAUAUUACUUGGUAAACCAUUCUUAUUAGUAAGUUUUAAUAUCUCUAGCCAGCAAUACACUAUAUGCAAUUUGAGUAAUCAGAUAGUGAUGUCUUCUAUUAAUAUGUUAAUAGUCACUUAAGCAAAAAUUGAAAGGACAAUUAAUGUCUAAAACUCAUGAGUACAAUAAACUAAUUAAAAUAAUUGGUGUAAUCCCUAACUUAUAUGGAAAAAGAUAAACAAGGGAAAUGCGCAAAAUGAAAAUUGAGAUGUACUAUAAUAUCAUAUUAUAAAGGAAGCAUGCCAAAUGCACUCCUCAUUUUUUCACCUUUUUGCUCUAUUACAACUUUCUCUCCUUUAUUUUUUUUAAGGGAUAAGUGCACUAGAAUUCUUAAAACCUUUUAAAAAGUGCAAUUAAGUCCUUAAAAACUUAUCAAAUGAUACAAUCAAGUCGUUCUAUUAAUUCCUUCUUAUUGUUUUUAGUCAAAAGCUCCAUCCUACUUGGUUAAUGUAAAAUGUUUAUUGCUAUUUUCUCUCUCCUAUGUAACGUUGACAUUACUAAAACAUAAAACAUGUAGCUAAAAUGACAUUGUUUUUUAUUUCAAACCAAAUUUGAGUUAAAUUAAAUUAAUAAUAAAAAGGCCAUUUUGUUUCUUGAAAAAAGAACACAAAACAAAUCAACCCUUGUCGCUAUCAUCCCACCAUUACUAAAAAUGGCUGGCAAUGGGGGGGGGGGGGUGAUGCCCGAUUGCUCAGGUCUCUAGCUAAUAGUCACUAGUUCCUAGGUCUUUAGUCCUCACCUAAGGUUGAAAGUGUUGCAAGGCACCAUUCUUUUUUUCUUUCUCUCCUUUUUUUAUAAAAAAAUGUAACCUUUUAUUUAAAAUUUGGCUAAAAAAGAAUUAGAUUUAGACCAAAACGAUAUCAUUUUAGUAUUAUGUUUUUUGUUUAGUGAUGUCAACAUCACGUAGUACAGAGAAAAUAGCAAACAAGUCAUGUUACUUCUUCUUUUUUCCAAUAGUCAAGUUGGAUAGAGUUAACAACAAGACUAGAUUACAUUAAUUUAUAAAUCUUCGAACUUAAUUGCACUUUUGAAAAAAUUAAGACUCAAUUGCAUUUUGGUGAUAAAUUUUAAAAUUUCAAGUAUAUUUAUCCCUUUUUUAAAAUACUGUUCUGCUUCUUAUUAAACAAAUUAUCCAAAGAACCAAAUCACUCUCCUGUAAAAAAAAAAAUAUCAACCUAGAUCUAAUAUUACCAACCACAAACUCAUAACAAAUCUCCAAAGCCUAGUCUUCUACACCCACAUACACUUGCACUCGUCGAUCAUGGAUACCUAUCACAGGCACUGCAGCUUUGCUCUCUAGCACAAGCUGCAAGCUCACCGUCUCUCUCUAUCUCUCUCUGUCUCUCUCUCGCAAGGACUGUGAAAGGGCAUGGCGACCUCAUGUCUUAGGGUGGUGAAGGCCAUGGAGACAAAUGACGGUCCAAAGUUGUUGGGGGUGGACAGGAGUUGGGGAAAUCGGAAUUUGUGCUAAGGAAUAAAAAGCGGUUCUGUAAGUCUAGUCUGUCAGCUGAUAUGAGGUAUAUGGUUAGGUAUCCAACGUAAGACUUAUGUUACAAACUCUUAUUUCGAUAUUAAAAACAAAGGAUACAAAGCAUAUUUUCUAAGCUUUGUAGUCAUUACAUCAAAGUGGUCAAUUGCGCAAUGAAGUGAAACAUGUCAUUUUCCAAUGUGCAUGGACGCAUUAUGCUUUGAUUAGGAAAAUAAAAACAGAAUUGUUCUUUUGGGCUUCUGCUUUUGCUACAUCCAUUUAAAUUGAAUUGCCUCGUUAGCUCAGCACUCGUAACUUAAAUUGCAUCACCAUCUCUUGACUCGUGUCACCACCCAACACAAAAAAUUAGGCACUAACAAUGCCUCAUAUGAUGUUACAGGGUCUCUUGUGUCCAAACCAUGUUCUUGCUUCCGAUCCUAGUCUCACUCUUCCUUGGUUCUCAGCGAGCUUAUUCCUCAACUUCCUCUUCAAGUCUUGAGCCUACAAGUUUCUUUUUCCCUUCUUUUGACCUUGGCUCUUGCACCGGUAAAAAGCUCAUUUGCAUGGGCUCAGUAAGCUCGCGAGAUGGGUAUUUGAACAUCACGCCAGAGCAAGGUAAUUCGAGCCUUGCGUCGAUGCCGACAAACCAGGUAGGGCGGGUUCUUUAUUCCCAACCAGUGGCUGCUUGGCCUGCCAUGAUCUCCACCACUUUCACCGUCAGGAUCACCCCACCGCCAAAUUCCACAGUCUCUGGUGACGGGAUGGCUUUCCUUUUCGCACAGGAUAAUAGCCCCUCACCGCCGAACAGUACUGGCUCAUACAUGGGGAUUCUUGAUCGGUCUACUCAAGGUACUUCCACCCAAGAAUAUGAAAUUUGUGGUACUUUGCUGUAGAGUGUUGAUCAAAAAAUGAUUUCUUUUCAACUGAAUAUUUAGGUGGUGUUGUUCAACAACUAGCGGUGGAGUUGGACACUUACAUGAACGAGUUUGAUAGUGACGGGAACCACAUAGGCAUAGACACGACGAGCACUACUAACUCAGUCGUUGCCCAGAGCCUAAACAGCACAGGAGUGAACCUAAGAAGUGGAAGGGACAUCACAGUCGAAAUUGAAUAUGAUGGCUAUAAAAAUGAAAUCCAAAUCUUAAUAGCAUAUUCUGGGAAUUCGCUAACAAGCGUUCUCAAUUAUUCGAUCAAAAUGUCAGAAACGGUCCCUAGGCUCGUGUAUGUGGGCUUUUCGGGAGGCACUGGUCCUCUUCCCGAAAGCCACCAGGUGAUUAAUUGGGCAUUUAGCUCUUUUCCUUUAUCUACAGCAGAAAAGCGGCUCAAGAGAGACAACAGGAUCAAAACUAUAUUGGUUUUGGUCGUGCCAAGUGUGAUGACGGUAUUGUUCAUCAUUAUAUGCGUCUACCUCAUUAAAAGAGCACCGAGGAAGAGAGACAAGAAGGACACCGACAUAGAGAGCCAAUCGAGGGUGGCUGCGAACAUUCCAAAGAUGUUCACCUACAAGGAGUUAGCAAAGGCCACUCGCAACUUCAGCAAGGAGAAUCUGCUCGGGACUGGCGGUUUCGGAAGCGUUUACAAAGGGGUGAUCUUAGAUCCUCCGGUCGAAAUAGCCGUGAAAAAGAUCUCGGCAACCUCGAAACAAGGUGUGUUUCUUAAUUGUAUUAUGUCCUUUUAGUACAUUUUUCUUGAACACGGUUCCCUAGAAAAGAUCUAAACAUUACAAAAACAUAGUGGUGAAGCAAUUUUAGCACAUUUUACUUUCAUUUUUAUUCAUCGCCAAUUGUUGUGAAUAAAGUGGGAGAGAGAUAUUCUAUAUAUUUUCAAUAUAUCUAGAAUAAAGUACUUGGAGUCUAUUUAUAGGCUUGAAUAGACGACAACCUAGGGAAAUCAAAUGGGAUAUGCAUAAUCAUAAUAAUUAAAGAAAAUGUCCUUAAUAUCUCUAGAAGAUACCUAAAUAUCUCUAAUACUCCCCCUUACGUUAGAGCAUAGAUAAUAGUCACAUCUAGCUUAUUAUAAAUAUAUUCUAUCCUCCCAUUACCUAGAGGUAUAGUAAAUAUGUCUAAAAGUUGUUCACCAGUCGUAAUGUGACUUGGAAGGAUCACUCCACUCUAUAGCUUCUCUUUUAUAUAAUGACAAUCGAUCUCAAUGUGUUUUGUUCUCUCAUGAAACAUAGGAUUGGAAGUUAUAUAUGCUGCAACCUUGUUGUCACACCACAGAGGCAUAGAAACUUAAGUUUUAAAGCCUAAUUCAAUCAAUAGCUACUAAAUCUACACUAAUUCAUGUGUCACUUGUGUCAUGACUCUAUAUUCUGAUUUAGCACUUGAGCGGACAAUAGCAUUCUAUUGCUUACUCUUCCAUGAUACCAGAUUUCCUUUAACCAAGGUACAAUAGCUAGUGGUCAAUCUCCUAUUAUCUGGAGACCUUGUCCAAUCAACAUCAGAGAAUCCUAAAACUCUGUUAUGGCCAUGAUUUUGGUAAACAAUUCAUUUCCUCAGAAUCUUCUUCAAGUGCCUCAAAAUCCAAUGAUUGCAUCCCAGUGAAAUGUACAAGGAGAAGACAAAAAUUAGUUUACCACACUAAUUGGAAAUGCAAUGUCUGGUUGAGCAAUUGUGAGAUAAUUUAGCUUGCCUACCGGUUUUUAAUUAUCUCUCAAGAUUAUCAAGAAUCUCUCUUCCCUUAGCAACCAGAUUAUCUCCUUGUUCCAUUGGUGAAUCAAGAGGUGUUGAUCCCAACAUGCCUAUCUUAGUGAGCAAAUUAUGGGCAUGCUCUCACUAUAAUAGAACAAUACCUUUUUGUGACCGUGUCACUUCAAUUUUUAGGAAAUACUUCAACUUGCCCAAGUCCUUAGUCUGAAACUAUUGCUAAGGGUAGAGCUUUAGUUCAACUAUACUAACCAAGUCAUCUCCUGUGACAAUAAUAAUAUCAUCAAUAUAUGCAAUUAAGAAUAACUUGCCUCCCCUUGAUUGUUUAUAAAAGGAGUAAUCAUUUCCAUAUCUAAACAUUCCAAAAGAAUGUUAACUUCAGAAAAUCUUCCAAACCACGCCCGUGGGGACUGCUUCAAAGCUUGCGGCUUUUUUAACUUGUAAACUAGUUUCCCAAAUGUCCCCUAAGCAACAAAUCCCAGAGGUUGCUCCAUAUACAUCUUCUCAUAUUCAAUAAAGCAUUCUCGACAUCAAGCUGAAAUAAUGGCCAGUUAUAUGUGGCUACAAGAGAGAUCAAAAUACCAACAUAUGUGAACUUGGCAAUAGGAGAAAAUGUGUUUAACUAGUCAACCCCACAGAACUGAGCAUACCCUUUCACAACAAUUCUUUCUUUUAAAUGAGCAAGAGAACCAUCGGGAAUGACUUUGAUAGCAUACACCCAUCGACAACCAAUAUCAAUGUUACCUAAAGGAAGAGGUGCCAAGUCUCAAGUUUGAUUAACUUGUAAGGCUUUUAAUUCUUCUACCAUAGCUAAUCUAUAGCCAAAGUCAUGUAAUGCCCCGGCUGCUAGCUUAAGGACAAAAUAUUGUUCAAUAGUAGAUAAAAAGGAUUGAAAGAAAAGAGACACGGAAGAGUAUGAACUAAAGUUUGCAAUAGAAUAUUAAGUACAAGCAUGAUAUCUUUGUGAUGAAGAAUAUGGGUCAGCUAAUGGCAAAUCUAGAGCUAAAGAUGACAUAGUAGUGGUGGGAGGAAGGGAGGAGCAGUAGCUACUUGAGGAUGCCGAGUAUAGACCUUGAGAGAAGUUGGUUCUUGUGUAAAUAUUAGGGAAAUUGGUGGAUCAAUUGAUCAAAUGGUGAUCACAUGUAAGAUUUCAUCCACCUCAAAAAUAGUAAUUGAAACAUCAUGAUAUGCUAUAGAUUCAAAGAAGAAAACGUAGUACGAGAAUAACAUAGAAACGUUAGAAGAAUAACAAUGGUAUCCCUUUUAAGUACGAGAAUAACAUAGAAACGUAUACUUGAUGGCCCUAGGAUCAAAUUUUAAUACUCUAGGUCAAUGACCAUGGAAAAAACAGACACAACAAAAAAUACAGGGUGGUAAAAAAAAUAAUGAUUGAUUGAGAAAAAAAUUAGAAAAUGGAAUACAACAUUGUAAAACAUAAGAAGGAAUGUGAUUAAUUAGAUAGUAUGCAAUCGGGGCAACAUAAAAAAAGAAAAAGAAAAAAGGUUUUACAAAUCAUCAUCUCAAAUAACAUGGACCUAGUGACUUCCAAUAAUGCCUAUUCUUUCUUUCAGUUACAUCAUUUUUUUGUGGUGUAUCGUAACAGGAAGAUUCACGGAUCAUACAAGGUUGAGUCAUAAAGUCAAAAAAGAUGCGAAAAAGUACUCUUAGCAUUAUCAAAACAAAAAAAUUUAACAUGUAUACCAAACUGAUUAUGAAUUUCGGAAUUAAAAGCACAAAAUAUAUAAAACAAUUCUAAAUGACUUUCCAUUAGAUGUAGCCAAGUGACUUUGGAAUAGUCAUCAACAAAAGUAACAAAGUAUCUAAAAUCUACCAAAUAUCUAAAUGAACUAACGAAAAAGGAGGCAUUACUAGCUUAAUGACUCAUGGCAAGUAACUAACACGAUGCAAUUUGCCAAGUUGACAUAACUCACACUCUAAACUAGAAAGAGAUUGCAAACUAGAAUCUAAAUUUUGUAGAUUGUGCAACCAAGGAUGGCCAAGACAACAAUGGAUUUGAUGUAAGGAAGCAACACUAGAACAUGAAAUAGAUGAAUCAUUUUCAAGCACAUACAACCCCCCACCUCAUGUCCUCUACCAAUCAUCAUCUUUGUAGCCAAAUCUUGAAAAAUACAAGAAUCAAUGUAGAGUGUCACUGAACACUGAAAGUUUUUGGUUAAUAUUCUAAUAGCCAUAAGUUUAAACAGAAAUUGUGGGAGAUAAAGCAUUGAGGAUAAUGUCAAUGAAGAAGUUGGAUGAAUUCCAUCAAGCCCCUUAACUUGUGUAGAUGAAUCAUUAGCUAGGGUUACAAUGGAUGAUGAUGGAGUAAGAGACAAAAAAAAAUAAAAUGAAAGACCUAACAAGGGACAAGAUAUAGCUAAAAGGCAUGUGGUAGUAUUACCUGUUCGUACAAGAGUAGCAGUGAAAGAAUUAGGCUGUGUUGAAACUAGUUGUAUCGAGCAAAUUCCUUAUUAGACAUAGCCAUCGCGUUGCCUUUUGAAAACUAUGGCAAAGAAGAAGAGUCGGUACUAGAUGCAACAUUUGCAAAAUGUAGUUGCUACCUUAGUCUCCCAUGUAACUUGUAACAAGAUUUUUGAAUGCGACUAGUUUUGCCACAUUAAUGACAAGUCCAAAUGGCCCUUGAGCUAUUAGUGGAAUUGUGGGACUGUCCAUAAAGCUCUUCUUGGCCUUAGCUGCUUCUUGUUCCUACGCCUUAGCCAACACCAUGGCCACCACAAGCGUUAUGUCCUCUACGUGUUCCUUUAUCACUCCCACUACCGCCACUGAUUCAAGACUAGGACACGAGAGCUAUCUACCAUAGACAUAGUGUCCUCAGAAGACUCAUGAGAUACCCAAAGAACUCAAGCAAAGGUAUUUGUGAGUGAUGCAAUAGUCUCUCUCUCCUAAGAAUUUGGAAACUCAUAGUUUCUAGUUUGGACCGAAACCUCCUUAAAUCCCAGUACAACCAACUAUUCUCUCUGAAGUUGCUUUUUCUCAGCAGUGGUUGAAAUAGGGAGAAGAUGAUUUAACUCCUCAUACAUCUUCUUAAAGUUAGCAAAGUACUGUGUAACGGAACACCCCUUCUUAUUAGAUCGGUAAAACUACUGGAAUAGCUAAUAAAUUCGUGAAAGGUUAUUUUGGCCAGAAUGCAAUAUAGCCAAAUGCUGCCAUAAUUAUUUAAUUGUGUCAACAUGAGUUACGAGAUCAACUAUAUUACUCUUCAUAGAAUUCAGCAUCUGACCAAGAAUACGUGAAUCAAUUGCAUUUUAAGUUGCAUCAAUACUAAGUUUAGGCUUAGUCAAGUGUGUAAGUUGAUUAUGUCUAUCGAAGUUAGCUUCACAAUUUUCUUUUAUUGUUGAAAGUUGGCACUAUCCUCAAGCUUCUUAUUGAUAAUUCGAUUAGAAGAAGAGGAAAUCAACUUGGUCAUCAUAGUAUUACUCUUCUCAAAAUCACCCAUUGUUUAAUAAGAAUAAGAAAAUUACCACAAUAUUUUCCUUCAAGCAACUCAACUUCAAUAAAUCAACACAACUGAGAAAUAUCAUCAAUGGACCGUCAACAAUGUUGUCACAACACUGACAACCAAUUGAACAAACAAUCCAGACAUAGGUAUAGAGUACCUGUAGCCUUCGAAGGUUCUUUAGGUAGAAAGUUCAUACAGCGAUGGUCAUUCCAACUGACCGAUCAUAGGAACAAGGGCAACAAAGACCAAAUUAGAUAACCCUCCUAGAUUUCGUAUAAAUCUCAAAGAGUCUUGCAAAGUCAAUUUUCGCAAUCCAAUUUCCUUGAAUUUACCCUUGAGAUUCCAAACAUCCCUACCUCUAGAGACCACACCAAUUAACUUCACCAAACUGUGCAAUAGCUCACCACCCACUCACCUAGUGCAUUGCAUAAUGAAACAUCUCAAUUAGUGCAAGCUAAAACUACUAGAACAUUCCAAUCUAAUCCAAUAUAGCUCGACCAUCGGACAUAAGGCCUGAUCUAGGCGGUCUUGGAAGACUUCGAAAAAAUAGCAAAUAGAGGGAAGCACCAAAUUGACCUUAGCGAAAAGUAUGAGUUAAGCCCAAGAACCUAUGCUCUAGUGGUGAAAAGCCGAAGAGAGGGAACAUGUGACAUUUGACGGCGCCAAAUUUGACCUAGGUUAGAUGGCGACGCUCGGCGACACUAGAUCUAGGCUAGCUACUUUUUUAUUUAUUUAUUUAUAAGAAUUUCUACAAUGGGUGGCAACUCUAAUUCUAGCGAAUAAAGUGGGAGAGAGAAAUUAUGUUUAAUUUUCAAAGUAUCUAGAAAAGAGUACAUGGAGUUUAUACAUGGGCUUGAAUAGAUGGCAAUCUAAUGGAAUUAAAUCGGAGAUGCAUAAUCAAAAUAAUUAAAGGAAAAAUCUUAAAUAUCUUUAGAAGAUACCUAAAUAUCUCCAACAGUUGCCACAAUUGUGAAGAUUCUCUAUGAAAAAGUUCUCUAGUAUUUGUUAAUGAACUUCAGGCAAUUUUUCAACCUCAAAUUCAACAGGUGAAAGACAAUAUUUGGCAGAGAUAUGCACAAUUGGGAGGAUGAGGCACAAGAACAUAGUGCAACUCCAAGGUUGGUGCCAUGAGGGGGAACAACUUCUAUUAGUCUACCAAUACAUGGCCAACGGUAGCCUUGACCGCUUUAUCGGCAAGUUGUCCCUCAAUUGGGAGACUCGAUAUGAGAUUUUGACUGGCAUAGCCUCAGCGCUACUCUACCUCCAUGAAGAAUGUGGGAACCCUGUGGUCCAUCGGGACAUCAAGCCCAAUAACGUCAUGCUAGACGCCAACUACAAUGCCUACUUGGGUGACUUUGGGCUUGCGAAGCUGAUCCAAAGCGACGCCUCAUCGACAACUAUGCUUGCAGGCACCCCUGGGUACCUAGCCCCGGAGGUGGCAUACUUAGGGAAGGCCACACCGGAGUCGGAUGUGUACAGCUUUGGGACGGUGGUCUUGGAGGUGGUGUGCGGGAAGAGGUCAAAGGGGAUCACAGAAGAGAUCAACUUGGUGGAUUAUGUGUGGAGUCUUUACGGAGAAGACUCGCUCCUGGAGUGUGUAGAUGAGCAAAUGGAAGGCCAAUUUGACGAGGAGCAAGUGGAGAGGGCACUGAUAGUGGGCCUUGCUUGCCUGCACCCGUACUCUGCAUGCAGGCCGAGGAUGCGAAAGGUGGUCCAGAUUUUCCUAAACCCGGAUGAGCCACUGAUGGAGUUGCCCAAGUCCCGGCCUAGCAUGGCAUUUGUGCCAGUCUCAUUCUCGGGCUUGACCACCGUUGGCUACUCCUCCAC
rnacentral:lncRNA from 1 species